UAUCCCUAUCCCUCCAACCAAACGCAGCCAUGAAUAAUAUUAAUAAUAUAUAUUAAUUUUUAAAUAUCUAAAUUUGAAUUCCGAAUUCGAAUCUAAAUUCAAAAAUAUUCUAAUAUAUUCUUAUUCGACUCCAAUUAAAAAAUAUUGUAAAUAUAAUAUUCGAAUCUGAAUCUGAAUUUGAUCGGAUGCAUAAUUUUGACGUCGGUGAUCGGGGCUUAUCCUAACCAUUUUCACCCUUGAUCCUAAAACCUGAUGGAUGUUAUAAACCUGGCUAAUCAGCUUCUGUUCUCUCUGAAAAUAGUACUAGCAUUUUUAUUUUUUUUUUCAGUAUACACAUAGCAUUUCUAUACUGUGUAAACAAAAAUAAAAAAAUAAAAAAAAAUAAAAACUUAAUUAAAAAAAGAAAAAGGAAAAACUAAAUGGACCUAAAAGGCCCAAAGUUGUCUCGGAUGGGCCUCUCUUUCUCUCUCGGUUAGGGAUGCCGACGGGUCGGAUUUUUAACAAUCCGAAUCCAAAUAUGAUAGAAUUUGAAAAUCUGUAUCCAAAACUAAAUCCGACCAAAAGCUCAAAAUUCGAAUCCAAACCCGAAAAUCUAAAUUCGAAACAAUUAUUUCUCUUCACCUUAUUUCAAAACAUAUAUUAUAUUUAAAUCUAAAUAUUCAAAUAUAAAUGUAAAUAUAACAUCAAUUAUUUAUAUGUAUAUAUUAUAUAUUGUAGAAUCUAUUCCGCUGCGGAUCAUGUACAGAUAAAAUUCAUGUCGCUCGAACUCGUCGGAUUUUCAUUUUUUUACAUCUGUAUUUGAAACCAUAUUCAUUUAGUAUCCAAUAAAUUUGCCUCGUUUAUGUUCAUGCUUAGGAUUUAAGAUUAAGGAUUCGGAUUCGGAUAAAAUUUUGGAGCAUCUGUACCCAUUCACAUCCCUACUCUCGGUCUCUCUCUUUUCUUUAAAAAUGUCAAUGGGUUGGAUUCAGGACGAAUGUUUAAAGUAUCUGAACUCGAACUCGAACUCGAACUCGACUAUCAAAUUCGAAACCCCAACCUGCAUUUGAAUUCGACGGAUUAUAAAAAAUUCAUAUCCAAACGUGAAUUCGAUCAAAAGUUUGAAAUCCAAACACAAAUCUGAAAACCCGAUGAAAUUUUUUAUUUUAAUAUUCAUAAUAUUCAAAAUUAUAUCCUUUUAGAAUCAGAUAAGUCCGUUCUGUUCGGAUUCGGGUCCGAAAAAAAAAACCGGCUAUCCGUAUCCAUUAACAUCCCUACUUCCCUUCUCUCUCUCUCUCUCUCUCUUAAUCUCUCUCUCUCUCUCUCGCGCUUGCGCCGUGAAUUCCCGCCGAUCCGCCGCCAUUGAUGCGAUCGAGGAGGUAAGCCUCGCUCUCUUCCUCUUCUUCUUCCUCUCUCUCUCUCUCUCUCUCUCUCUCUAACCCUUCUAGGGUUUCUUUGCUUUUCUUCUCUUUUCUUUUUUUUUUUUUUUUUUCAAUAGUGAUCCCUUUACGUUUAUCGAACUUGAGUUUUCUCGAUUCACGCCAUGUGGUUCAUUCACUGGAAUUGAUGAUGCAUCUCGACUUUAAUUUUGUAUAUGUUCGCUGCGGACCUUUCAAAAUUAAGCACGAUUCGAAUCUCAGAUGAAUUGGUUAUGGCGUAAUCUUAGUUUCCACGAAUUCGAAGAUGAUUUUAAAUUUUGGUUAAAUGCACCGCUCUUUUGCAAAUAUAGCCACUAGGGUUUUAAAAAUCUUAUAUUUUCCGCUUCCCAAAAUUUUUAUUUUUAUUUUUUUUUGCAGUUUAAAUUACCUAUGUUCGUGUUCCAUCAGUUUAAACCGAGCAAAAUUAGCCAGAUGAUCAAGAAAACAAUAAAGGACGCAGUUUCUUAUCUCAAAAUUUAGUCUUGCAGUAAAUUUUUGUUGAUUUUUAGCAUUUGAUUGUAAAAACUUAAAUGUGAUAAUGGUGGUCAAUUUAUGCUAUAUAUGUUGCUCCCUUUGAAUUAGAUGUUUCAUUAUGGGAUUAAUCAGUAAAUAUUAAUGUGUGUAUACUCGAAUUCUGUACAGAUUUUUUAUCAGAAAAUUUUGAAUUGUGCAAUAUUUCUUGAUUGAGUUAUGUUUGAUUAUUAUAUUUUUAGGUUUUUGGUUCGUUUCUGCUGUUUUGCUAUGCUGUUGUCCCAUAAAUGAUGCGGAUGUCAUUUGGCCAUGUUGACAUGUGUUGUAUGUACAAGUUAUUUUUCACACUGGGGUGUUGCGUCUGUGUACUGUCGUAUUAUGAUAUUAUAUAGCAAUAUUGAUAUCAACAAUUUAUCCGUGUGCAAUAUACUUUUGGAUGUAAAUGUCUACUUGUAAUGUCAUUACAGUCUUUUCUGACAUUUGAUAUUCCUAUCGGAUGUUUUAUGUCUCUAAAAAAGGAUGCGUGCGACGCACCGACGCCUCCUUAUAGUCCUCUCCAAGGCGAAAAGCCUCCUUUAGUCUAAUAUAUCUAUUAUACCCUAAACUAGAAGUAAGUUCCUUUAGUUCAUCUGUUAAUACAUGAUGGACAGAAAAAAAAAAAAAGGAGGAGAAAGGUCCCUCUGACAGUCGACGUCCUUAUUGAGUCGUAAGGCUAGUACAAUUCGCUAACUACAAAAGGUAAGACUUAAUAUAGGACAAGUGGUCUAAUUAGGAUAGAGAGAUUGUCAUAGAUCCGUCAACGGUGAACCUGAUUUAUUGAUCUCCUCUCUCAAUGUGUCUGCAGAUAGAUCCGGAGGUAGUUUUUUUUUUUAUUAAACAGGGGUAUACCCUAUUUAAGGAGAUCCGGAGGUAGUUGUAAACUUGUAAUAGUUGUUGUUUGUUCUGCUGCAAAUUUCUAGUAUGUGAUGUGGCCUAUGCUAGUGAUCAUUUUCUGUAUAUGAUAUGAUCAUGCUAUUGGUGAAACUCCUAGGCAGUAUCUAUGACCCAUUCUGUGCUUUUGUUAUGUGAUAUGACUCAUGCUAUCAUAUGACAUGAUCUGCGUCAACGUGGGACUUAUCUGACCAUAGGAAGUUAUCAGUAACUCAUGCUCUGAUGCUUCUGUAUGAUUUAUUUUUUUCCUACAGUCUUGGAACUCGUGAUAAGCUCGUGUUAAAAAUCUAUAUGCUACUCUGCCAUUGUUAUUGUAGUUUUUCAUGUAGAUAAUCUUUGAAAAACAUGAGUUCAUUGAUUUUAGUAGCAUCCUUGAUCUCAUAAUGAGGUAUUACUGCUGCGUGCUCACUUUUCAUAGCAGGACGCCUGAAGAUCCAGCUCUUUAAAAUACGCAAAGGCCAUUUUGUUAUAGACCUCCUUACCAUACGUAAGAAAAUCUCAAAUAUAAUGUGAUUAUUGAUGAUCUAAUAUUUUCUGAUUCUCAGUAUGUUGUUGAUUCAUGAGAAAGUUGAUGACUUCAGUUUCUUAUCCUGAGGAAAAUAACAGUACAUAUGUCAUUGUUAUGCUAUAUAUGUUCUGUGCCAUGGUCCUUCGGGUUACUCAUUAGUAUGUGGAUCUGAUGGCCUAGAAAUAUCUGCACAUUUGAAAUCGGAAGAUCUAUAAUGUAGACAGGUUGGAGAAUUCGAGUACAUAAUGCAAGAAAAAUGAUUGUCUUUUAUGCUACUCUGUUGUACUCUAUUUCUUCCACUAACUACCAAUGCACAACAAUUACUCGAGAAAAACUACCAGGCUCUAAUUUGUUAAAGCUCUGCUUGUUUCAUCAUCUUUCCAAGAAAAUGUGUUCAGCAUGACACAUCCAAUAUACUAACUGAUUAAUUUAUUGGUGUUUCAGGUUUCUACAUCUUCUUCAAGUUAACAUUAAUUGAUCCUAUUUGAUAAUAAAUCGGAGGUUGGUUUCCAUAUGGGAACAGAAGAAUCUAAGGAUUUGCUGAAGAACGUGGACUGGAAAACAGUCGGCAGCACCGUAAGUACCGACUCAAGUGAACCGAUUGUUAAAAAGCGUCUCCCAAAGAAAAUUAGACAAGUGCCCGACUACUAUUUCCUACCUCGACGAUCUCUACCAUCUGCUAUUGCCAUUUACGGUGCUAUUUGUGCUGCUGGAGUUGGUGCUGGGAUGCUAUUAGAGAUUUGGAUAAACAAGAAGAUCAAAGGUGAAUUCGCACUGCUUGUGCAUUUCCGUGCAUAUUUCUUUACUCCAUACCGCUAGUUAAUAGUUAUCGGCUUUUGACUAGUCAACUAUCUAUAUCAAUAAUAGAUUACAGAUUGGGUCUAAUGGUUCUCGAUGAAUUCUUUUCAGUAGUUCAUACAAUCCGCAUCAGAUUUAUUGUUGAAAUCUCUCUGCAGUGAACCACCUUUUUUUGUGCAGUGUCAGAUGUUCUCAACAUUUUGACGAAGCAUCAAAUAAAUACAAUGUAGUUGUCUCCCCACUUUGCUAUGCUGGCAGAUAGUUGAAAGCCUCAGAUAAACAGUAAAUGGUGGUGAAGAAUAAGUCUUUAGGACGGACAUUUGGUGUCUUCUCUAUAGAUUUUAGGUAAAGACCUACAGAACUUAACCGAACUAUGGGCCAUUCUGAGUUGACUAUCGAACCUUUUAAAAUUCUGAUUUUACUCUCCGACCUUUCAAUCUAUUUGAUUUGAGUAAGACAACGGCAUUUUGACUUUAAAAUUUGAAAAUAUCAUUUAUCUUUACAGAUUUAAUUAGUGUACUUCAUGCAAUUCUCGCAAUUAUAAUUUAAUUAAAAUAAAUAGUUUAAAUUUUAUAGUUGAAGUAUCGUUGAUUGGCACAAAUCAAACAAAUUGAAAUGUUGGAUAGUGAAAUCAAAAUUUUAAAGGUUGGGUGGUUGAUUCAAACUUGUUCAUAGUUCAGAUAAGUUCUGUACGUUUUUACAUAGAUUUUAUUUGUACUUUGGAGUUGUUUACUAAGCCACGCCAUCUUUGCAUGCAGAGGACGGCGGCAUCAUCUGGGAGAUGGACAAAUCCUGAAACGUGCGCUUCGUGUUUGCAAUUAUGAGGUAGCUGGAAACAUCGGCAUUGGACAUUUCGAAAUCCAAUGGUGGCCCUUAUGCUUUGUAAUUUUCCUUUUGAUCUUGCUGUAUACAAUAACAAUUCGAUGUUCCGGCCUAGUCUCAUGUGGAUUUGCCAUUCAAAUCCUGUUUGUACCAUCUCACUAGUGAUCAAGUAGCUACUUCAUUUCGCCAUUGGAGUUUUUGGAAGGAGUUGCAUUAAUUUGUACGUCAAAGCAAAGCGCGAACGGAGAUAUGGAUUCAUAUAUCUAGUAUUUGGUAGCGAAGUUCUUGUAACUGGAAUUGUUCCGCAGAUUUCGUUCAGUAUUGUUUAGUGUAAAAUUCUUGUAAAUGUUCCACUGAUAAUUUCUUGAUAAUGCAUUACUCCAUUUAUUAGAACAAAUUUGACAGAAUUACUGAUUUGCGUAAAAUGUACCGUUACCCCCUCAAUUCUACGCAAUUCUGAAAUCGGUCCCUCGACUGAACAUACUUGAAAGGGCUCAUUUUUUUUCGUAUUUGAUUAGAAAUGUCGAGUUAUUUAUAAGUUUUUUUAGCAGGGCCUCGGCUCUGCUAGAGAUUUCUUACAAAUUUUCGUCGAAUAGAUAUAAAAUAAUUCUAUAAUUGUGAUUAGUCAAUAAAACAGUUCGAUUCAACUCUUUGAAUGGAACAAGUCAAAAAAGUGUUUUGAACUGUGUGAACCAACAGUUCAACCAUUGAACCAAUUCGAUUUUAAUCAAACUGAUUGGAUAUAUGUUUAUCAAGGCAAUAACUUAAGUUAGCUAAUUUUAUUUUUUGUUAGUACAAAUUAUUUUUUAUUAGCCAAUAAAAAGUAAAUUUUAGACAAAUUUAUAUCUAUUAAAUUUGUCUAAAAAUUAAUAUAUUUUAUAAUUAAGCAUAAUACUAAAAUAAUACUGUACAUAAACUUUUUUUAUACAAUGAAACUAAAUAAUAAAUAAUAAUAAUUAAAUACUUAUAAUGUCAAUGUUGAUCGUGAUUUUUGACUCCUCAUUCCAUCCGUUCGCACGUGACUCCUCCAAACCCCGAGACCCCUUCAGCACGGUCGCACGUGACAGAUAAGAUAGGGUUAACGGGUCACCGCCUCCGCAAACCCGACGCCAUGAAGCGCCCCCACCACCCAACCUCUCUUCCGACCAAACCAAAAUCGAAACCCUAACCCUAACGCCAUAGCCCUAGAAACCUGAAAACCCUUACCUGAACUCGAUCGGAGGAGCUCGUCGCCGAUGGCGCACGGCGGCUACGCGCGGCGUCGCAUCGAGGAGCGGCGCCCCCUCGGGCGCCGAUCGAAGGGGCUAGGGCUCGACAAGAAGGGGAAGAAGCAGAGGUCGGCGUCCCUCAAGAACCAGAUCCGAUCCACCGAGCGAUUGCUCCGCAAGGUACUCGCAAAACGCUUUCCCCUAGAUUUGAAUUGAAAAAUCCCUUAAUUUCCCCCAAUUUUGGCUGUUGAUUUGAGCUAGGGUUCUGGUUAUUGAUCCCCUUAAUCUGGUAGGUUUUGAAUGAUUAGUGGUAGUUUAUUAAAUGCAGUUCAGAAGCCAAGAAUAGGGAAUUUGGGUUGUGUAGUUUACGUUGUUAAUAAGAUUAUGUUUAAAUGAGAUGUGAAUGCGAUUAAAUUGUGGGUAAAUUGCACCAAAUAAUGCUUUCACUUUUAUUCAAAUAUCACAUUCGUCUUCGGACUUUUUUACGCGAGAUAUAUUCGAUGCCUUGAACAUUAAGAAGUGUUUUGAUUUGCUUCUUAAUUUUUGUUUAGGUUAGAGGGAAAAGUUGCCCACAAUAGAUGCAUUGGUAUAUUCUGACACUGUGAAUUCGUUGGCUUCCAUUAAAUCUCCUACUGAAGUGAACUUUACUAACCUCUCAAUCGACUUGAGAAACUGAAAUUGUUAUUUAAAUUAGUACAUCUCACAAUUUUGUCACUUCUGUUUGGUUUUACAAUCUCUCUGAGAAGCUAUACGACUAUGAACAAGAAGAACUAGUGUAGGCUGACAUCAACUAGUUAAUACACACAAUUGUGUAAAUUUGUUUUUGUUAUCAUAGUUUUUUCAGAUUUUGAUAUCACUAUGGUUCAUGUUGGAAUCGUAAAAUUGUAAAUGCUGUUGUCUUGCUACACUUAUUCGGACUAAUUUUACGACAUUAAUCUUGUAUUCUUCUGUGCCUCUGUGUGGUAAUAUAUUUCUUUGUUGUUUAAAGGACCUCCCUCAUGAAGUCAGGGAAGCUCAAGUCAAGAAAUUGGAAGAACUGAAAAGACAGCAGGAAAUUCAUACUAGACUGGCUAUAGAACGCAAAAUACAGUUGCGAAAUAGAAAAAUAAAAUUCUUUGGUAUUUUCUCAUUUGCCUCGGAGUUCUUCGUAGAAUGAUAUCUUUAAUAUAUAUUCUUUAUAUUGGUCCUACUGUCUCGAGUUUCUUUGUGUUUGAACUAGAGAGAAGAAAGAUAGAGAGGAUGAUAAGACGACUUGAAAAGCAACAACGCUCAUCAUCUGAUCAUGUUGAAGAGGGAAGAAUAUCUGAUCAACUUUCAAAAUUACGAGAAGAUCUUGAAUAUGUUAGGGUAAGCUAAUGGCAAGAAUUUCAAUGAAUAAUUUAUUUAUUUAUUUUAAACAAUGCAUCUGGACAAUUGUUUGGUCAAGUGAUUUUAUAGAAGCUGAGCUUGAUGUCUUUUUUUUUUUUUAUGUCAUCCUUUAUUUGUUUAAUGAAAAUGCAGUCUUAUGACUUUGUCCUAUGUAUUUAAAUCAUGAAUUUCUAAUUAGAGUUUUUUUUUUUUGGGCACCUUGCUUUCACAGUGUUGUUUUAAGUAUGCAAAUGGUGAUAAUUAUGUUUACAUCUGUUUCGGAGUUGAGAAGAGUCUCUUGAUAGCUUAUAUCAAGUUUUUUUUUUUUUUUUUCCUGGUGCAGUUCUUCCCAAAGACAGAAAAGUAUGUACCAUUGUUUGCUGGUGGGGAUAAUCCUACUAUUGUGGAAAAAAGAAAUAAGUUGCGGAAGCAAAUCAAAGACAAUCUUGUGGCUGCUGCAGCUAGCGGGAAAGACUUAGAAGGUCAUCACAUUCUUGAACAUUUUACUUUAAGAUCAUUCUAAAUAGUCUCAUUUUGGUAUAGUUAUGUAAUAAUUCUUGUUCCUUAGUUUUUUUACUGGUGCCUUCCGCUUGUUGUCACUUUAUCCUUUAACCAUUUACUGUGUUUCUCGUUAAAUUCUGUACGUUAGCAGGAUAUAGUUCCUCUUAGCAUCUUCUGAUGUGCUGAAUAGUUUCUUGUUUUCUAAACAGAGACAGCAAGUGAUGAUGAUGCUUUAGACAUGAGCGAGGAUGACUUCUUCAUGUCUGGAAGUUCAAGCGAUGAAGUAGAGGCAGAUGAUGAGUGGACAGACAAAAGUACAAAGUAUGAAAUUUGCAUAUGUUACAUCCCUUUUUUGUUUUUUCUUAUCUUUUCCCCCUGACUCUACAUGAAGAUGAUUGUUUUUAGCUAACCAAGCCUUAGAUCUGUCCCUGCCCCCCUCUUUCCCUCUUUCUCGUUUUUCAGUAAUUUUGGAUUAGUUUGAACAUACUUAGCUGAGAAAGUUUGAACCACAGUGAUCAGUCUUUUUCUCUCUCAACCAUUUAAUAUACAUUAGAUUUCUUCUCAUUGUUUGCUUGGGUAGGCUCUGAAGAUACUUAACUAGAUGCAUCAUUUCUCUAAUCAUAAGGAACCUUAAAGGUAGCUUUUCCAGUUUUAAGUUCUCAUGCUGCAUAUUCUGGCUUCUUUCACCAAACUACCUGAUGCAACAUAAUAAUCUUGAAUAUUUAUUUUCAAGUACAUUCUACAUUUCAUCUUCGCCAAAGUUUUUAGUUAGCUAGUAUUUUUUUUGAAGAGGUAUGGGCUUUUGGAUUAUGGGGUUCAUUAUCUAGUACUAUCUAUUAUCUAGUGCUAGCUUUGUAUCGACACAUAAACACGCUCAUAAGUUAACAGACACUUCCUACAUUUUCUUUAUGUCUCUGUUAGUGUGUGUGUACGGCAUAAUAUGUUAUGAUAAUAGACAAGUCUUUUUUUAAGUUUAGGGUUGUUCUCUUAAAAGUAAACUUACAUUUUGGGACACUCCACGUCACACUUUUGAUAUGAUAGUGUUCCAGUUAUGAUUUGUAAACUGAAAGUAGUGGUUCAGUGAUAGAUAAACUAAGAAUAAAAUAAGUUAUAUGCUAAGACAGUAUGAGUAGCUGGGUACAAAGAACAAAAUAAAUUAUAUGCUAAGGUAUUUGGGAAGCUAUCGAUAUCUACUCUAAAAGGCUUUAGCACAUUAUCAUGUGCUGACAUAUUUUCUAUGUUGUGUUGCUCACAACUGUCAUAAGUGAUAUCCUUGAGAAGGUAUCAUUUAGAUAUCAGAUACAUGACAAACUAGAUCUUAUAAUAUUUUGAUCGGUCAAAAUUCUAAAAUUUGUUCAGCGAAAGUCUUAUGUCCUUUGAUGCUAAUACUUGUGUUACUUUGUGCUUAGGGAGCAAGCAUCCAGCGCUUCUGGGAAAGCAACCUCUGGCAUGUCAAGUGAUGAAAAGAAUCAGGUUUCUUUGCAAUGCUGCUAUGAUUUCUGUUUUUGUAUGUCUGAUGGUUUGCCUUUCACAUUGACUUUGUUAUAUUUUGGUGCAGAGGCAAAUAUCUGCUCGAGUUCUCAUGCCGCCUCCUCGAUCAUUACCUCCAAACAGAGGUAAAUUUAUAAAGAAGUUCGAUAUAUCCACAUCAAGCAACACAUCAAAUAGCACAAGCAGCUCUUCCUCCAAAAAGUGGAGACCAACAGCGAAUGUACAAGGAGAUCAUAGUAGCAACCUGAGUUCCAAUUCUGAUGCUCAUAAAUCACGGAGGAAACGCAGACAUAGGAAGAAGAAGAAACAGGUUUAGUUGAUACUUUGAAAUGAUCAUAUCAUGCUGAACAAAUCCAUCUCUUUGAAGACAACUUUGCUACCUCCAAAUAGUUGUACGACUUCUUUAAUUUAAUGGUGUUCUUGUAUGAAAUUAUGCUUUGCUAUAUUAAGAGAUUAUGAAGGAAAGAAUUCUAAUUAAUUUUUUUUUGUUAAAUUAGAACCCACUACUAGAUUAUUGAACUUGAGAAACCUGCUUCCAAUCCAUUCAUUGAUUCUCUUGAGUGAAUUCAAUCCGUAAGAUAAAUAUCUUAUUUUUAUCUUGUGUAGAGACUAAAGCGUGUGACCUUCAUCUGAUUAAAGUUCUAUCUGUUUGUUGUACCUCCUCUUUUCUCGUCUAAAAUAGGUCCGGGAAAUCUGUGUUCAAUAGUAAAACUAACAUGCUAGAAAGAACCACGAAAAUUUGUUAACAUUACUUAACCGAAAGAGUACUUGCUCUAAACCACUACUAGCUCAAAUAUACACCAUAAGUAUGUUGAUGUUCAUAGCAUUUCGUGGAAUUUGCCCCAUUUAUUUGCACCUUCACAUCAGUUGAUUAUUUUUUCCGUAAGAAAUUGUUGCCUGAAAACAAUUCACUCCGAAAUACCAUCAUCUUCUUGUGAUUUUUUAUUCUUUUCUUCUUGUCUAAUUAAUGGUGGAUGCUUGAAAAGCUGAUUAAAAUUUGAAUUUCUCUGUUGUAACAGGCAUAGACCGAAUGGCGAGCAGUGUCAGUAACUGAAGCUGAGAGAUUCUUGUGUAAUGCAAGCAUGAGAAAAAGUUAAAUAUUGUCCCCAAAACCGCACUAUUUAUCUUCAAAGUAUCUACAUUGCUUGAGCAAUUGCAAUCUUUUCUUCUGUUUUGUCAUGUGCAACUUUUUCUUUUUUGUUGCUGCCGCGCAGCUAAAGAUGGAAUUAUAUCGAUAUUUCUUGCGAUAAUUGGUCGAAACUACAAUCAUCAAACUCAGCAUAAUCCUCUUCAAACUUAUGCGGUUGUGCUUUUUCCACCACCAGCUGGGGGAAUUGUGAUGCAAAAUCUGCCACUGGGCACUUCAAUGAGGAAUCUGAGAUGCUAAAUGUGAAUAUUUCUAAAAUAUUGUUCUUACAUGUUUGACUUAUUGGAUGGUACAUGUAGGGAUGUCAACGGGGCAGAUUUUCAAAAGCCUGAACCCGGAUCCAAACCCAAAUCCGAUGGAUUUGAUGUAUCUAUAUUCAAAUUCGAAUUCAAUCAAAAAUUUGAAAUUCAAAUCCGAAUCCGAAAGCUUGAUUUCGGAACAAUUAUUUUUCUUUACAAUAUUUUAAAAUAUAUUAUAUUAAAUCUAAAAUUUUAAAAUAUAAAUUCAAAUAUCUAUUAAGCAUAUGCUUGAAAUUAAAUUCAUAGUUGAAUUUAAAUUCAUCAGGUUUUUAGUUUUGAUAUUUAUACUCGAAUCUGUAUCUCUUUAGUAUCGAAUAAAAUUUUGCCCAUUCGCAUCCAUUGACGUCCCCAGGCAGAGUACGGUAAUGUAAAACCUAGGCUGUGUCUGAGGGUUUAUGGCCCGCUGGCACGGCACGACAUGACACGACAACAAACCUGGUACAUUCUGGUCCGGCACAAACGGGGGGCAAUAUCAUAGACAAUGUAAGAUACUAGCAUUUUGAUAAAGAAAUGGAUAGGGCUGGCAAACGAGCGAGCCGGCUCGUGUUCGACUCGUGUUCGGCUCGAUAUUCGGCUCGCUCGAGCUCGACUCGAAAUUAAAUGAGCCGAGCUUGAACAAAAUAAAAGGCUCGAAAUUCAUUUCAAGCCGAGCUUGAGUAUUACUCGGCUCGUUCGAAUUAGGCUCGAAAAGCUCGAAAGCUCGAAAAUAUAUAUAUUAAUUAUAUAUAGGCUUUAAUUUAAUUUGGGUAAUUAUUGUUGGCCCAUAAAAUAAACCCAACAAGUACAACCGUGCAAUUGAGCCCAAUUCUAAAUUACAUAACACACUCUAUUUUUCAGACUCACUACAGCAGAAUUAGGUUAUAGGAACACAUGUUUGGGACACUUUUGAGUAAGUGUCCCAUUUAUGCUAAAAUUUAAAAACACAUCUACUAAUGCCUAAAUAUAAAGCCCAAUCCAACCAAAAAUAAAAGAUUACUCUACUCAACCCACCACACUCAGUCCAUUUGGCCCCAUUACAAACAGAAAAGAAAAAAAAAAGAAAAAUCAAUUACCAUCUUUUCUUCUCUCUUCACUCAAUCCACUGAAAUUCUAGACGAAGAGCCUUUACUGUCGUCCUCCUCCGCCACCGCAGCCAACGAGAUAGAGUUUCGGCGGUUGCUAAAUGCUUAAAUAAGUGUUGGUAAAUUAGCAGCACUCUUUUAGGUUAUAGCGACACUCUUUAACUGUCACUAUAUACCUAGCGACCCCACAUAUAGCAACACUUUUUAAAAGUGUCGGUAAUUUUAGCUAGCAGCACUUUUUUGACAUGUACCUACAUUUAAAAGUGUCGCUAUAGACCGUUUUUGUUGUAGUGAAUUUCACUGUUGCACGUAACCCUAAAACAUGAUAACAUUCAAAUUUUCAAAUCCCUAAUUUUUUUUCCCUCUCUCUCUCUCUCUCUCUCUCUCAUCCUCACCCAGUCAGACAGUCACCCUAGCUCACAUUUCUUACAAUUAUUUUGUAUUUUGAACUAUUGAACAUGUUGCAUCAAAUUAUAGGUAAUGUUCUAUAAAAAUUAAACUAUUGAUUAUAUAAUGUCGAGAAUUUCAAUCCGCUCGUUUAGAGCUCGAGCUCGGCUCGACUCGAAAUUAGGCUCGCUCGAGCUCGGCUCGAAUUAAUUUCAAGCCGAGCUUGAGCCUAGAUUUAGGCUCGAAAUUAAUUUCAAGCCGAAUUUGAGCUGACAUAAGCUCGCUCGAGCUCGGCUCGUUUCCACCCCUAGAAAUGGAGUAUAUAUAUAUAUAUGGGAAAAUUUCAUAGGUACCCCCGUGGGAGACUGAAAUUUCAUCAAUAACCCUCUAAAGUUGAAAAUAUCAUAAAUGCCCUUCUAAAUUCAAAAAAUACUCAUGAAUGCCCCUACUGUUAACCGGCCGUCAAAAUCUAACCGAAUAAAUUAUAAAUGCCAUUUUUACCCUGUACAGUUCAUUUAAGUAUAAGAAGCCUAAUUAGUAUAUUAACACUAUUCAUAAAUGCCCUCUUACCUUAGCAUUAAUUAGUUAUUUCCUGUCAAAUAUAUCAUUCUAACUUUUGGGGAGAAAUUUGUCAUUCUAUAUAUCAUUCUAACUUUUGGGGAGAAAUUUAUCAUUCUAUAUUUUAACUCUUAUUUAACUAUAUUUUAAUCCGGAUAGAGUGACAUGUCCUUAACGGCAAAGAUAAUUAUGAUAAUUUUAUGUGUUUGAAGAGGUAUUUAUGAUAUUUUAAAGUUUAGAGGAGUAUUCACAAAAUUUACAAGUUUGAUAAGAUUACUGAUGAAACUAUCCUUUUUCUUUAUAAUAAUAAUUUCAUAUAAUUUAGGGUAGACUUCAAAUACCAACCCUGUAAUUUUGUACUUUUUCACUUUAGUAUCAUAUAGUUUAAAAAGUAUCACUUUAUUAUCCUAUGGUUUCGUUUUUCUCUUUUCAUUAGCACCUUCAUUAACUCUUCAUUAAAUUAUAUAUAAAAAACUUCAAAUACUCCACCUAAGCUUUAUUGAAUAUUCACUUUUGUAUCCUGUGGUUUACCAAAUUUUUAUAUUAGUACUUUGUGGUUUUAACUUUAUCACUGAUAUAAUUGAAAAAUUAAUGGAGGGGAUAACAGAAAGAGAAAUUUAUUAAAUAUAUUAACUUUAUUAAAAUUAAUAAUGAAAUAAAUAUAAAAACUCAAAUAAAAAAGUAGAGGUUAAAGGGGUGUCAACAAAAAAAAUUUAAAGUUGAUGGGCCUAUAUCAAAAUCUCUAUAGUUGAGGGGUCUCCAUACAUUUUACCUAUUGAAAUUAAAUUAUUUUAGUUAUUUUAGCUGAAAAGUUGUGUUAAAUUUAAUAAAUUUCCUUUUUUUUUUACACUAAAUCUCUUAAUUUUAAAAAACUAAAAGUUAAAGGGUCUUAACAAAAAACUGCAUACUUAAAGGAAUUAUUUCAAAAUAGCAUAUAGUUGAGGGAUCUCCAGUACAUUUCUCAAGUAGUAUGAAGUUAGGGGUAAAUUCGUCAUUUCAUGACUUAACACAUUAUUGAUCCGGAUAAACUGACGGUUUUUUAACAGAAGGGGUAUUUAUGAUAAUUUUUUAUAUUUCAAGGGGUAUGCAUGAUAUUUUAACUUUUGUAGGGGUAUCUACGAAAUUUGUAAAUUUUAGAGGGGUAUGGAUGAAAUUGCCCCUAUAUAUAUUUAUAGAGUACGUCUUCGAUACUUUCGAAAGCACGGAUACUUCUGUACUUGUAAGAUAUUUUUGAUGAUAAAAUAUCCAAUUCGACGAUCGGCUCCAUUAGGUAUAAUCUUUUUUAUUGGAACUAUGUAGAAACUAAAUUUUAUAAUUUUUUGACAUUAUUUACCAAGCGAUCAAAAGAUCUCAAAAAUGACUAUUUUAACGGCCGAGGCGGCAUAUUUUUAAGUUCAACGGUGUAGAAGAAUCCAAAUUACAUAAAAAUUUAAUAAAAAAUUUUACUUAACAUCAAUAGCAAGAUCAAUACUUCCGAUUUGAAAUUUGAGUAUUUAUCAUUAUUUUUUAUGAAAUUUUUAUUUUUAGCCAUUCAUUUUGAGGCUACUCAUUCACUAGACAAACGAAGUCAAAAAAUUCCGAAAUUUAGUUUUUAAAUAGUUCCAACAGCAUAGAUCAUUUUUAACAGAACCGAUCGUCGAAUCGGAUGUCCCAUCAUCGAAAAUAACAUAUAAGUACAGAGGCCUUCGUACUUUCGAAAGCAUAGGAGCAUAACUCUCUCUCUCUCUCUCUCUCUCUCUCUCUCUCUCUCUCUCUCUCUCUCUCUCUCUCUCUCCCUCCAUCUCCCUUUUCUUUUCUUGGUUAUAUAUACAUAGAUUAUAGAAGUUUAGCUUAUUAGUGUCUGUUUGAUUUGACUUUUUAUAAAGUCCGUAACUUUUAAUCUUAUAGAAAGCAUAAGAGAGGGUGUGCAUUUUAAGAGCGGAAGCUAUAGUUUGAAAAUUUUGAUCAUGAUCACCAUUAUUAAAAUAAUACUCUAUUAAUGUUGACUAACAAUAAUAUUAUAUUGUACAAUAAAGCAAAAUAAGCUCUUACUCAUAUGCAUUCACGAUAAUACAGUUUACUGUCCUUUUGGCCCAGUUGUAGAAUCCAAUAUUAUUUGAUAAAGUAUUAUUAUAAUAAGAUUGAUCUUUAUGGGAAAAUUACUACAUAUAUAUAUAGUAAUGGUGACGAUUAAUUGUCGAAUAAAAUGUUACUCUUAAUCCUAUUUCAGCUAAACCAAAACACAAUCGGUUUGAAGAAUGGUAAAAUGAUCAUCUUGUACAAAAAUGUUUAUGUGCUAAGCAGGUGACUUAAUAUAUAGAUAGAUGUUAGAUACUUCAAAUACGCGUAGAUACAAUUAAUUAUAAUAUACUAGGGAUUUCAUAGGCUAAAGUAUUUGAGUAAAAAGUUCAAACUAAGCCAUAAUAUUUUUGAAAGUAAGAGAACUAUCCAUACAUUUUUUUCCUUUUCUUUUGCCUCAUAAAUUUGGGCCAAAUGCACUAAAUAAAAUUAAUAAGAAUUCAUGUGAAUUUUCCGAAUCAUGUGUCGAGGAUCAUGUGAAGGACAUCAAAGAUCCUCUCUGCAACUCAUUUAUGACCCACUUCAUCAAUCUUUUAUAUACAAGGCCACUUGGGCCUCCCUUUUUUGAAGGGUAUCAAGUAUAUAUCAACGUAGCCUCCUCCAUUGAAGAGCCAUCAUAUAUAGAGAGAUAUUCUUAUUAUUAAAGAGUCAUGAAGAAGUGUUAUUGCACCAAAGAUACACUUCUUCUAUUCAUGCUCUUAUUGAUCUCUACAAUGUGUGAAGGUCUUCGAUCAACACCUCGUAAGUUUACGAGUCUCUACGCACAUUGUAUUUAGUAUUAACUUCUUACGUCGGUUUUGAUAGUAUGGAAAUAAUGCGUAAUUUUGCUUGCAUUUUGUUUCACAGAUGAUAUAACGGGUUCGAAUGACGAAGGAGAUGAAACAAGCUCUUUGUUUAAGGUUUGUACAUUGUUUUCUUUCCAUCGAAAUCAUUAAAAAAAGGGUUUUGCAUAUGUUGUUCUUUUUCCAAACCAAAGAGAGAACAUGAGUUACAUUUAUAUAUAUAUAUGGCUAUAGAGUUUAAUUGUUUCUUGUAUUAAUGCAACUUUGUAUUUGAGUAGAACAUCGAAGCGCUAAACGACCAUUUCAUUAAAUUGUAGAAUCUAGUUUCGAUGUGAAGCUUCUGCUUUCGGUCUCGAUUCUAUUUUCACGCUUGUUUGGCUUUGUUAUUGGUUCUACGUUUAAACUUUAGAUGUAACACCGAUUAUCAAAUAUGAAAGUCGAAGAUUUUAGCUUACAUGGCUCAAACACACAAAGUGAUCGAAGACGAAGAAUCGACAUUCAUUGCUUUGUAUUUUCGCGCAGGAGGAGAGAGAUGACGACAUCCUAAAAGGAAUGUUCGCGACCGGUUCGAGCUUGCCCGACUGCACGAACGCUUGCGGGGCGUGUUUUCCAUGCAAGAGGGUCAUGGUGAGCUUCAAGUGCUCCGUCGCCGAGUCGUGCCCGAUCGUCUACCGUUGCAUGUGCAAGGGGAAAUACUAUCACGUCCCGUCGAAUUGAUGAUAUAUACGGACUUGCAUGAUCAAGUUUCAGCAAAAGGAGUCAUUAAUGGAGGAGAAACUAAGUCAUAUAUGACUCAUUUUUAACUUUUUCGCUCCCUUUUCAUCUUUUUCUUGUUGUAAAUGUUCCUCUAGUAGACUAAUGUGGGGGAGCACGAAAUUGAGAAGUGGUGUUGGUUUGGAGGAAGUGUAAUGGGGUAUUUGUAAAUGAUGAGCCUUUUCAAUAUUUGAGAGUAGAUUAUUAACNUUAUUAAUAAUUAAUUAUAAAUAAUAAAUUAUUUAAUUAUUUAAUUUUUAAAAUAAUAAAUAAUAAUUUAAAUAUAUUAAUUAGAUUAAUUAAUAAUUUACUGCCAUUAAAAUUAGAUUUAGAUUUUAAUUAAUCUUGUUCUCAUCAAGGAACAAGCUUGUUCCAGGAAACGGGUGGAACAGCAGUUCCAGCCUUAUUCCAGCUAGUUCCAGAUUUUCAGAAACUACUGUUCCUGGGAGCCAAACAUAACGUUUGGGAACAAAGAGGGGAACAAGGGCUUAUUCCCUCCCUUAUUCCCCAACCAAACGCUACCCUAGAGUUGAGUUGGUGGUUGGUUGAAUAGUAUGGUCUAACGGAUAAAAAUGAUCAAAGGGGUUAAUCUAACGGUAGAAAACUUGAUAGUACAAAAUGCUUGGUGCUAUUGAUAGCAUAGCAGCUGGACUCUAUAAAAAUUUAAAAAAUUACGGAAAAUUUAUAAAUUGAGAUAUUAGAUGAAUAAUCUUAAAAUAUGAAAGUUAAUUAAAGCAGGAAGAAAGUAGUAAUGUUGCAUAACUAGCUCUUCAUUUUUUCCGAGUAAAUCACUGCUUCAGUAUACGCUCAAUUCCCUAGGUUUAAACAAAAAAAAAAAAAACAUUUUUACCUUCACAAGUAAAUGCAUGUAUUAAUGCACGUCACAAUUAUUUUAACAGUAUCUCAAAUUAAUAUAAAUUUGUAUAGUAUAUUUAACCAAAACUUUAUAACAAAAAUUUGAAUUUUAAAAAUAGCAAUUUUUCUAUAUUAUAUUUUAUUAGAAAAUAUCUGUUAUAUUUUAACUCAAAUUUAAAUAGAAUUGCCAAUAAUAAUUAUAUGGUUCUCUCUCUCUCUCUCUCUCUCUCUCUCUCUCUCUCUCUCUCUCUCUAUAUAUAUAUAUAUAUAUAUAAUUUCUGUAUGUUUUUCGAAUUCAAAAUUUAAGUAUGUGCUUUACACUAAAAGUAUCAAAAUUUUAAUUCAUCUUUAAUUCAAAUUUUUAAAAUUUAAUUUUGAUCUACUUUUAUUAAAAAGUUUUAAUUGCUAAUUUGGUACUCAAAAUUAAAUUUAAUUCACGAUUUGAACUCAAAUUUUAAUUUAAUUUAUAAAUUUAUAAAUUUAAAUUUAAAUCAUAUAAUUAAAUUUCAACUCUAAUUUAAGAUGAAAUAAAAUUUUAAAUCAAAUAAGAUUAAAAUUUAAGAAUAAAUAUAAAAUUAAAUUUAAAUUUGAUUGUUGAUUGCAAUCAGUAAAAAAUUAAUAUAACAACUAAAUAUCAGUAAAUAGAAUUAAGAUAAUCUAAAAAUAUUCAUGUAAAAAAAAAUAUAAAAUGAUAUAGAAGCACUUAAUAAAAAAAAUUAUAGGUUAGGGAAAAAGAGAAAGUAAAAUUGUGUUUCAUUAUGUUAUUUAUUUUUUGUAGGACAAAGAGUUAUCAAUUUUUUUUUCGUCAAAAAUAUAUUUAUUUUAUCAUUAUUAAUAUUAAUGUAGGGUUCGGCUACUAUACUAUUAUGAGUACGAUCGCCCUCGUACUCAUAAGUUGUUUUCGAUGAUAGAGCUUCCGAAUCGACGAUCCAUACCGUUAAACAUUAUUUACAGCAUUUAAAACUUCUAAAAAUCAAAUUUUAUAAUUUUUCGACAUCAUUUACCUUACGAUCAAGAGGUCACAAAUUUGACAAUUUUUAACGGCCGGUAUGGGAUACUUGCUAGUUUAACGGUGUAAAAGAAUCAGAAUUUGUUGAAUUUUUGAUAGAAAAUUCUAUUCAAUACAUAGAUAAAGAUUAAUAACUCCGAUCUUGAAUUGAAGGAUCCGAUCAUCCUUUUUUAGGACGUCGUUCGAUUUUGACCAUUCAUUUUAUGCCCACUUGAUGAACUUUAUUAUGAUUUCGAAAAUUUACGAAAUUUAUUUUCUAAAAGUUUCAAAUACUCUAGAUCAUAUUUAACGGAGUGGAUCGUCGAUUUGAAAGCUCCAUCAUUGAAAAUAACUUAUGAGUACGAGGGCUCCAAUACUCAUAAUAGUAUAGUAGCCAUUAUAUAUAUAUAUAUAUAUAUAUAUAUANAUAAUGUGUUUCGUUGUUUGACUCUUUGUGGACCAUGCGUUAUCUCGGCGCUCUUUAAUAAUGAUUGGGUUUAUAUGGUUUCUGGAAAACACACGUGCGUUGACCGCUCAGCGGAACUCGAAACAAGUCAACAAUUAUUGGAUCCGUGACACCGCAAUUGCGUUACACCCGAUCAGCCGAUUUAAACCCGAAGCAAAUAAGGGCUCAAACAAAUGAUGCGGCGCUGUCUCUCUCUAUAUAUAUCUCUCUAUCUCUCUCUCUCUUUCUAUAUCUCUCUCUCUCUCCUCCCCUGAGGCGCGAAUCGCCGAGGAGAGAGCGGAGUAGCGCGGCGAUGUGAUCAUCGUCGUCUUCCUCAGCGCCCCCGAUCGUAGCACCCGGAGAUUUCGACGACCUAGGGUUUCAUGGCGGCGGCGGAGGAGGCGGAUCACGGUGGCGCCGCGGCGAAGAAGGCCCCGGCGGCGAGGAGCUGGAUGGUGGUGGAACCCACCGGGGAGGGGACGGUGCUCGAUGUGGAUAAGUACGCGAUCAUGCACCGCGUGGAGAUCCACGCUCGGGAUUUGAGGAUCCUCGAUCCCUUGCUCUCCUAUCCCUCCGCGAUCCUGGGGCGGGAGAAGGCGAUCGUUCUUAAUCUCGAGGUAUUUGGUUCUAUCCCCUGUGAAUUUUCCUUCUUUUUUUUUUGCGGUUUUUUUUGCUAAUUGUUUUUUAUUUUUUUUUUCAGCAUAUUAAGGCAAUAAUCACGGCAGAGGAGGUAUUUAUACUGCAUAAUCGUUUGUUUAUUGAAGAAUUGUGUGCCCUAUUGUCCCUAAAAUAAGAUCUGGUUAAUGUUGUUAAGCUUCUUUUGUUGAUAAGAGAUGUUGAAAAGGUGUUAUGUUUUGCUUGGGUAGAUGUUUCUUAGAGAUCCUUCUGAAGAGCAUGUAGUUCCUGUAGUCGAGGAGCUCCGCAGACGUCUACCUCCGGCGAACGUUGCUCGCCAAGGGAAAGAUGAAGCAAACGCACCACAUGAGGUGGAAGGUGCUGAAGAGGAUGGUGAGUAAUAGUAGGCAUUGAUGCUUUUUGAUUAGGGUUGUUACCUUUUCUAGUUGUCUCAGAAUAUUAGUCUUCCUGGUAGAUAGCAUUAAGAUCCUAAUGCUUGUUAUGUUAUAUCAUUAGCAGAAAAGUAUAAUGUUUUUGUGUUUACCCUUAAUGACCUGUUGGAUGGAGAGAAAAAGAAGUUACUUUCUCAUGUUUGGUUUGAUUUCAAGGAAGUGACUUUAAGAGGAAGGGUGAGAAAGUAAGGCCUCAUUAUUCUUUUUCUCCCCCUCGAAAGUAAAGGAAAAGCCAGAGAAGAGACCUCUGCUAUUUUGUAGAAAACUACUAUCCUCUAGAAAAGAUAUGUUUUUUUCAGAACAUGUCUUUUGUAUGGUAUUUUGUAUGACAUUUGUAGGGAAACAUUCAAUCUUCUCUUCAAAUAAUCAAUGUAUCUUAACAUAACUUCAACAUGAUUCACUCUGUUUGAGGGAUAAAAUAGGCACCGAAAAUGCUAGUUCUUCUCAAUUUAUUCUGACCCCCUGUUGUUCUGGUGUCCUCAGAGUCAAUUUGUAAGCUACAACCUAGGCCAAUAGGACUACUCUGACUUUAAGUUGGCACUUGAAGUACUAACUAUUUUCUAGCAUUUGCAGGAGAAUAUUAUGACUAUGCCGUGUGAGUUUAUGUUGACAUGAUCCAUAAGUAUGGUUCAGAUUAGAAUUUGAAUGUCUUCUGGAUAAAAGAUUCAGAAAGAAGUUAUUGUGAGUCACUUUCAUACUUACUAGCAGCUGCACUUGUUAUUCUUGCUGGUCUCUCCAUGAAUUGUCUAGAGAUUCAUACCUGUUACAGUGAACAUGUGGUACAUUUUGUCAAAAAUCAAAAUCAAAUGUGUCUUUUGAGAGAACUCACCCUUAAGAAGCUUUUAGGGCAUGUUUGUUUCAUGAUUGGAAUGAAAAUGUGAAAUGGAAUCGGAAUAUUGGAAUGGAAAACGGAAUGAGGAAUCAUCUAAAAAUGUUUGGUUUAUUAUUAGAAUGGAAAUCAAAAUAGACAAAUAGGACAUCUAGGAUUUUAAUAGAGGGUUUUGGUUAAGGGAAAGGAGAGAUGAAGGGAGAGGAGGGGAGGUGUUUGUGAGAGAGAGAGAUUGAGUAGUUACUCUGGAAUGGGCCAAUCCAGGAUUCAAAGGUGAAUUCGGCCAUAAUGGAUUGAGUCAUUUCUAUUUUAGAGUGGAAUGGGAAUGGGAAUCCGAUUUCUGUAAAACAAACAACAACUAUUGGAAUUAGUGACUCUCAUUCCGAUUCUAGAGCCUAAAAUAGGUGAAGCUCUUAAUGGUUUCAGGAUUCAGGAGUAAUUAAUCAAUCUAAAAUAUAUAGGACAAAUAAAUUUGCUUUUAGGGCAUGUUGUUCAUGAUUGGAAUAGGAAUGAGAAAUGGAAUUGGAUUGCUUUCGAAUGGGAAAUGGAAUGAUGAAUUAUCCAAAAACGUUUGGUUCAUUAUUGGAAUGGAUAUCGGAAUGGAAAUCUAGAAUUUUUGAGAGAGCUUUUUGAUUAAGAGAGAGGAAAGUGAUGAAGGGAGAGGAGGGGAGGUGUUGGUGAAAGAGAAUUUUGAAUAGUUUAUUUUGGAAUGGGGCAAUCCGGUAUUGAAAGCCGGAUUGGGCCAUACAUGGAUUUGGCCAUUCCCAUUCCAAAGUGGACUGGGAAUUGGAAUCCGAUUCCUUUAAAACAAACAACAACUAUUAGAAUCGAUGAAUUCCAUUCCGGUUCCAUAGUCUAAAAAUGGUGAACCAAACAUGCCCUUAUUGGCUUUCUUGAGACCAUGUAAGAAACACCGCUUUUAAAGAUCUGGAAGUUAUUUAACCAAACAAAGCAAAUUGCCAUUGUCUGAAAUUCCCGAGAAGGUUAUUUCCUUGGUUUGCUUUUCAAUGCUUAUUAACCUGGUUAUCGAAGUUUUUCACUUGUGCUUCAAUUUAGGCUAUAGGGAAAUUUUCUAUGACUUCCUCCAUUUUAUACUCGUUUGUGGCUGGCGGGUCAUUAUUUGCUCCAAAGACUAAUCUGUGCUUCAAUUGUGUAAUCCAGAAUCACCUUUUGAAUUUCGUGCCUUGGAAGUUGCUUUGGAAGCAAUUUGUAGCUUCCUUGAUGCUCGUACCACUGAACUGGAAACUGCCGCUUACCCGGCAUUAGAUGAGCUGACAUCUAAGGUGUGCCAUAAUCUUUUUCGUGAGUUACUUUCUUGUUGUUUCUACAUGGUACUAUUGGAAGAAUUCAUGGCAUGUCACCUUAUCCCUUAUAUGUAUGACCAAAAAGAUGCAAGAUUUGCAUACAGAUAUUUGUUGAUACAUUUUAUUUACUUGUUGUUUACUUGAAUCGCCCUGGAGGGUAGAAGAAUGAUUUUGUUUUGCAAAUUAUAAGAAAGCGUUAGUGUUGUUUUUGUCAGCAUCUAUUAUUCUUAUGGUUUUUGCAACCUACUCUUUGCAGAUCAGUAGCCGUAACUUGGACAGGGUUCGCAAGCUUAAGAGUGCAAUGACUAGGUUGAUUGCUCGUGUUCAGAAGGUGUGCCUUUUUGUUUCCACUUUUCCCUCAACAUGUUAUAUUUACAUGUACCUCUAAAUAUUAUUGGUUGGUUUGCAUUAUAAUCGUUGUAGCUAAGGAAAGCAUUGUAGCACUCUUGGUUUAGGAGUAUCAUGUGCCAAUCCCAUGCUAGUUAUGUGGCUGUAACUUACCUAACCGAACUGCACUGCAGCUGCUCUUGUCAAAUGCUAAGGCUAAUCUCCGUGUAUCAUGCAUUGAUACACAAGGGUACUAUUUGUCAUGCAAAGUAAUAAUGUACACUUCCAUACCAUGCAGAAAAUAACUGGCAUGGUAUAUGCCAGAGUGUGCUCGUCACUGUUUCAACCGAUUGACACAAUUUUCAGUUUGGUUAAGAGAUAUUUUCCUUUUGGGUUUUUCUUCAACUUGACCCACUUAUUAUUUGCUUUUGGUGCUUUCAUAGUGACUUAUCAUCUCAGCGUUCGACAUUCACUGGUAAAUUCUUAUAACUUUUUAUUUUUGGUAGUGGCUAUAUGCUCUUAGGGAACAAGGUUGUUAAGAUCCUUUAUCUUCUCCCGUGGUCAUUGAUCAUAACUAACUACAAGUUGCCUGAAUUCUUUCAUGUAUUCUGUCAUAUUGAUUAGUGCAUCCUGAGCACACUAAACUAUUGGAGUGUUAUUCAAAAAAUUUCACCACUUAGUAUUUUGUAUUCAAGUUUUUGAAUGCAUACAUUUGUAAAAAUUUAUGGUUCUGAUUCUUCUGAACUUUACUCACUAAGCUCUUGAUUUAAUGAUUGGUGAUCAAUGAUCCAUAAAAAUGACUCUAUGAACUCUGGGCAAACAUGUGGGAUUGUGUUCAUUUGGGAUGCUUAUGGUGGGCAGUGGAACACUGCACUUUCCUCUUUAACUCUUUUCUUGACUCUUGAUUCGACUCUGAUUCUGCUGUUUAGUUUGUGAACUUGAUGCUUUGGCAUACAGAUUUAUUCUAUAUAAAGCUCUGGCUUUCUUUCUAUCUUGCCAUUUUAAAAGAUUAAGAGACUCAUUAAGUGGGAUUUUCUUGACCACCAAGGCGUUAUUGACCUAUAAGACAUUGAAAGCAAGUUAACUCUGCAUUCAAAAUAUGGAUUGGAUGUGGCUUUCCAUUUUAUUGGCUAGGAGGAGAAGAAGUAUCUUUUUCAGCAUGAAUUUGCUAAUCGUCCAUGGUUCUUGAUCAUUAUCAUUCAGUAACAAACUACAUGAACAUUAGAAGAGCUGAUGCUGAUGUUUAGUGCUUCACUGCAGUGGGCUCUCCAAUGCAAUAUCUUCUCAUUCUUCAUUAUCUAAUUUUUAUGCCAUAUCCAGGUAAGAGAUGAGCUUGAACGCCUAUUGGAUGAUGACAAUGACAUGGCUGAUCUGUACCUAUCAAGAAAGCUUGCUGGAGCAUCCUCGCCUAUUAGUGGCUCUGGUAGGGCUGAUUGGUCUCCAAACUCACCACCAAUAUUUUCGAAAAUAUCUCGAGCUAGUAGGGCCAGUGUAGCAACAUAUCACAUUGAGAAUGAUGUUGAAGAGCUUGAGAUGUUACUGGAGGUUGUUAUAGUCAAUCAAUUCUCAGAGUCAAUUAGAUUAAAUAUUUUUUUUCUCACUCUCAUGUCUUUCAAAAGUUUAAUCCUAAUUUAUGGUAUCUCCUAAAAUUGCAGGCAUAUUUCAGGCAAAUUGAAGGAACUUUAAACAAAUUGAUCACGGUAUUCAUUUCUUGACACUUAGCUUAUCUUUUUUCUUGUUUUGCAUUUCUGGACAACUGUGGUGUACAUACUUCUAGAUGCCAAAUCAUAAGGAAAAGAAUAAAGAAAAAAGGUUCCGGUGAAUAUGCUAUCUGAACUGCCGUCUUUUGGGAGAACCAUCACCAGAUAACUGUCACUAACGCUGGCUAGAAAUAUAUCAGAUUGAAUAGCCAAAGUUGAUGAGUCUGUUGGAUGUUGGAGUCUAACGAUGAGAAGUUUGGUCGAGCAGUCCACAAUUAAGUUGAUGGGUUACGUAACAAAAAUUUAAGGUCGACUUACAGGCAAAUGAAAUUAUAAUUCUUGAUCUUUGUACUUCACUUCACCCCUUCCAACUCUCUUACAUUUAGAUCUAUCAUCAUGGCUGCAAACUUAUCUUCCAAUUUCAUUAAAGCCUUUACACCCUUCAUCCUCAAGUGCAUAAAUUGUCUCCUCAAGGUAGACAAAACUUGCAAUAUUAUUUCUAUGUGUGGCCCUCUGCUGGGAGUAUGCAAGGAUAAUCAACUGCUAAAUGAGCUUAGCCAUUAAAGCAUUAUUGUUUUUCUUUUAUUGCUGAUUACCUUUGGUUCAUUGUAAGUUCAUUUUUGGCCAAUAGCCUGAAUUUAGCUAGAAUGUAACAUGUUAAUGUUUGGUAGACACUCACUAACAUGAACGGAAACCUUUUUAUCUUGCAUCUUUCUUAAGGGACUUACUUGUUCAUCUGGUCCAGAUGUUACUUCGCAGAUAGGAUUGUCAUUUAAAUAAAAGAACUAUGUAGGAGGACAAGUUUCAAUCUGAUCUAAGUGGUGACUAUGCCUGUGUGCAUAACUCUCCAAAUCUUUAAACUGGAUUUACUUUCAUUAAAUUCAUGCAUGAUGUCAUUUAAGAAUAAUAUUAUCUUUCUUUGGUCUCUAACGUUCUUGGUUCAACCACUUUAUUCGUGAACUUUGUUACAUUCUAUAAUUUCUUUACAGCUACGCGAGUACAUUGAUGAUACAGAGGAUUAUAUCAAUUUUCAGGUACAUGGGUCAUAAAAGUUUUCUUGGUUUAAUUAUGAAUUCAAGGCUUGUGUGUCGUUAUAGUGCUAUUUGCGGAAGCACUAUUAAGUCCCUCGAACAGCUGAGCUUUGUUUGCACCAAAGCGGAUACUCCAAAUUGAGCUUGUAGUGUUGGGACUUAUAAUCUCACUUUAGCUUCUCGAAUAAAUGUCCUAGAAUUUUUUAUUUUUCAAAUGCUCAACCAGAGAUAGUUGCAGCUGAUAGGAGAAGCACAAGAUGAGGCAAAUAGUCACCUAGUCCCUGAAGUUUGAUCCAAAUUCUGUUAUGCUCUCAGAGUUUCAAAUUUUUGCCAAUUUAGUCGACAAAGUUUGUUCUGUGUAACAAUUGAGUAUUAGGGGUAUCUAGAAAAUGCCGCAUCAGCUACAUAUUUUAAAAUCGAAACCUUAAAAUGCUGUCAUGUCAAUGAACUCUAAUGAUUAUGCUGAUGUGGUAUCUUUUCUUACCGGCCAACAAAAGGAUUUAACCGUUACACAGAACGAGCUUCAACGAAGAAAUUGUAAAACUGAAACACUACGGACAUCUACCUAAUUAAAAUCAUGGUCAAACUUCCAGGACUAAAUUUGCAAUUAAGCCAAUUUCCUUUCACAUCUUUAAACUGAAAAAAGGACUCUCGUCAUAUUCUAAGUUUCUAAAUGUUUGUCUUUGCAGCUUGAUAAUCAUCGAAAUCAGCUGAUUCAGGUGACAUUUUUUUUUACAGAAACUUAAUUUUGUCAGCAUUUGUUUUAUCUACAUAGUGGUUCAAAUAAACAAAAUCCCUUCUUUACCAUUGCAGUUGGAGCUUUUCUUGAGCUCUGGCACUGUUUGCCUCACCCUGUACUCGUUAGUCGCUGGAAUUUUCGGCAUGAACAUCCCAUACACAUGGAACGACGACCACGGUUAUGUUUUUACAUGGGUAAGUUUGAAGCUUGACGGACUUACUAUGAAUCUCGGAUUAUAUUUAUUUGAAGAUGACAUAUUUAUAGCAUCAUGUCUACAUUCUUCUUGAUCAAAAACAGGUGGUAGUUUUCGGGGCAGCUAUAAGUUCCGUGCUUUUCGUUGUGAUCAUUUAUUAUGCUAAAUACAAAGGUCUUAUUGGAUCAUGAUAUCCGGAGAUACACAUUGAGGUAUGGCUUACAUUUACAUAUUGUAAGAAAUAUGCCAUCAUUUAAGCUCAAUUUAAAUGAAAAAAAAGUGAAAAUGUGCAGGGACCAUUUCAACUAUAGGCCAUUUUGAAAUAGACCCGCCAACUUUUUUUCUUUUGGCUUGGCACUCUUUCAACUUUUGAUUCUUCCGGUACGAAUUAUAUCCAUCAAUUAAAUUGGAGAUCGUAUUACACCGAAUAGUAGUUUUGUUUAACAUUUAACUGUUCUGAACACUCCUUUAGUUGAUGAAAUUGCAAAUUCCGUUAACCGUUAAUAGGGCGGCGGCGUUAAAUUUAACAAAUUCGUGAUUUAAUAAAGCAGAGUUACUAAAAUCAAAACAACUGUGAAGUUUGAGUUGGUAUCUAUUAAAAAGGAAGCAAAAAGUUUGUGUGCCUAUUUCGAGAUGGCUUGGAGUACUAAUAUCUACUUCAUUUUUUUUGUUUUUUAGGUCUUUACAAGAGAAUUCCACCUCCCUAUUGGUCAAUGGUCAAUUCAAGCAUUGCAUGAGGUAUUAGGGUUUGAGAAACAUUUUUUUUUUUUCUUUUAUAGAUUACAGAGAGAUAAUAAUAAUCUUUUUCUUCAACCUGAGCUCUAGGAAUGUAGUUCAUUUAUUUUACUCUUAUUUUCUUAUCAAUUUAUUGUCAAAAGAGAACUAGUGGCAAUUUAUUCUUUUAUUGUUAUCUAUUAGGGCAUAUAAAAUAAUGAAAACGAGUUAAGGGCCGCACGAUGUGGCUGACAUAAAAUAUUUUAGCAGUAAAAUUUAGUUAAUCUUUCUACACUUUUAUAAAAUUUUAUUAGCCUGGUUAUUAAUUAAAUUAAUUUAAAUAAAACUAAUUUAAAUGUGUAUAUGUGUAACAUGAAUUUUUGCAAGAGCUAAUUUAUGAGUCAGUAAAUGACUAAUAGUCUGGGUAUUAAAUAAUUAAAAUAAUUAGAACACAAUUCAACAAGUAUAUAUAAAAAGAAAUUUUUUAAAGAUAUUUAAUUACUUAAUUAAGAAAACUUUUAUAGGAACUCAAUGAUAAUUAGAUAAUAACAUAAUUAAAAUAAUUUAAACAAGGUCGGCUUAAAAAAAGUAAAACUCGUAAAAAGAAGGUAAGAGAAAUAUAAGAGCUAUUAGUAAUUAAAAUAUUUUAUAAAGAUACUUGUAUAAAGGAGUAAAAGAAGAAACUAGAGAAAUUUCACUUGUAUACCCCAAAAAGGGGUGUAGAUCCUACACCUUCCAUCCUAUUCACAAAAAUAUAAAUAAUUUUAGUAAAAGUAAAAAAAUUGAUGUGACAAAUAGAAAAUUAAUGGCCAUUGAAUGAAAUGGGUGUAAGAUGUACACCAAAUUUUAGGGUAUACCAAUAGUAUUGCUCAAACUAUUGGGCUAAAUUACACUUUUGGUCCUCAAACUAUACAGUGUGUGACCGUUAGUCUUUCAACUUUAAUUUGUAGCAAUUUUUGACUUGUCUAAAUUAUGGCAGUCAAGUCCCAUAACAUAAUUUCAUUCAUUAAAUAUUAAUGUGUCGCUGAUAUAAAAAUUUAUAGACUUUUUUAAAUUUUAGAACGAAGAGGGUGCAAGAUGUAUAUUCUUUUUUCAGGCCUAUAGAUCGUGUUUUCUAUCCGCAACUACUUUUUCUUACAACAGAAUCAGAAGUUUCAAAUUAAAGCUUCUGCUUUCUUCUACUGAGGUUGUACUCUUUUUUUGUUUGUAUCGCACUUUGCUAAGAUUAUUGCAGCUAAGAUUGAAAAUAAAAUUAGAAUCAAUAGACCCUUAUAUUGAGGGUCCCCAGAUUUUGUGGGGGUGCUCGUUCCACGACAUACGUUGAAUAAAAUUCAAAGAUUCAAAUAUUCAAAGAGAUACGUCGAAUAAGAUGUUUCAUACACCCAAAUAUGGCCUAAAAAUAUUCGAUCCGUGGAAAUGUGAUAUCGCGGGGCCUCUAGUAUUUGUUUUUUUUUUACUGGGCCAACAGGAAUGCAAUAAUUUAAAAAGAUAAAAAAAAGGUUAAUUCCAUACAAGUCCUUACAAAUAUAGUAAAUUAUAAAUAUAUUUGUGUAAUUUUUAUAUAUUAUUUCUGUAAAAGUUUUGAUAUUUUUAUAUGUCCCUAUGAUUUAUUACCGUUAAAUUAUUGUUUACUUUAUAAGUGAAAUAAUUUUAUUGGCAUCACAAAUAUGGCCCUGUCCCAACUCUUAAUUAAGUCAAUUAAUCUCGUUAACUGACUAGGUUUAAAUAUUUUAUAUAUGUUUAACUAAUUUUUUUGAACGAAUCCUAACGGUAGGGACAUAUUUGAAGAUUUUAGAAUUUUUAUAGAAACAAUAUAUAAAAAUUAAAUUUUAUAGAAAUAUAUUUGUAAUUCAAUAUAUUUAUAAUAACAAAUAUGAAAUUAACCUUAAACAAAACACGGCAAGUCAUUAGCCAAUGAGAGUGUCAUAUAUUCUUAUGAGAGUGGGCUGGUAUGCUUCUGGAAGCACGGAGCCCUCCGUGUUUCCAAGUUGUUUUCGAUGUUCGGACUUUUGAAUCGACAAUCGGCUCCGUUAGAGUUGAUCUAGAGUAUUUGAAGUAUCUAAAAAAUAAAUUUUAUGAUUUUUCGAUAUCAUUUGCCUAGUGAUCGAAGCGGCUCAAAAUCAAUAAUUUUAAUAGCCGUGGUGAGCCGUUUGCAAGUUUAACGGUGUAGAAAUAUCCAAAUCACAUGAAAUUUUGAUAGAAAAUUUUUUAUACCAUAUAAAACAAGAUCAAUAACUUUGAUAUAAAAUUUUAAUGUCAUAUCAUCAUAUUUUAUAAGAUUUUUAUUUUCAGCCGUUGAUUUUGAGCCACUUCGAUCACUAGGCAAAUGAUAUCGAAAAAUCGUAAAAUUUAUUUUCUAAAUACUUCAAAUACUCUAGAUCAAGUCUAACGGAGCCGAUCGUCGAUUCGAAAGUCCGAACAUCGAAAACAACUUGGAAGCACGGAGCGCUCCGUACUUCCAGAAGCAUACCAGACGCACUCUUCUUAUGAUGGGUAAUAUCUGUUGGUCAUGACUCUGUUGACUAUUUUGCUUUGGAGUUAUCCUUUUCCGGAUAAGAGUAGUUGUUAUCCAUUUCACCUUUCACGGAACUAAAUUAUGUGAGUUUAAUGAGUAUGAUGAUGAUGAUGAUGAUGAUGAUGAUGAUGAUGAGUUCUAGACGCAACGCAUAAUUCUCUCUGUUGAUCGCGUUUAUCUCUUGUUUGACUAUUGGGUUAACAAAUAGAUUGCUAUUCACAACAAACACUAAUUUCCUUUUUCCUUUAUUUGGGUAAAGAGGUUUGAACUUUUAAUUUUGAUAAUAAUUAUAUGUCCCAAACUUUAUUAGAUAGUUCGAUACGCUAUUCUCCUCGAUUAAAAUUAUUAAUUAGUUUUAUAAAGCUUUACAACACAAAUAGAUUUAUUUUUUGUAUUCUUUCGUGUAAAAAAAAGUGUUAAAAAUUAAAAUUUGGUUCUACAUAUUCUUCACUCAUCAUGUUUAGUUAUGAAAAUUAGAAGAAAAAUAUAUAUUCUGCAUUCCCCACUGCAUCCAACCAAACUGCGCCUUGUAAUGGGCUUUUGGGUUCAUCUAACUCACUCGCACCAUAUAUUUAGGCUAUUUUAUUGGUCGGAUUUCAAUCGCGAAGAUAUUGUGACACCCUGCUUUCUAUAGAGAUUACACAUCAUACGAAUACUCUAGUCUUAAUCCGCUUAACUCUCUAAUAUAUAUAAUAUAUCUAAUAUACAUGACUAUUUUAAAUUCUAAGAAUGUCACGGAUAUAGAACUAUAAAAAGUUAUGGAUCAUUAUAUAGAAAUAAAAACCUAGAAUGCCUUAUAUUCUCACUUGAGAUUGAGGAGAUGGACUACUUUUUUUUUUUCAAAAAAAAAAAAAUCUUUCAUUUUCUAAGGUGUUGCUCAAGCUACUGCAACAAUAACAAGAGUGUUGUUGUGUUCCAUAGACUAAAACAUGCGAACAAUAAUAAAAUGGACAAAUCAAGAUGAAUUAUUAUCCAGACAAAAAAGCCAUCACAGACGAGGACAUGUUGCCAUCUGGGAUUAAUAAAGUCUAACUAAAAGAUUUUUGAUAAUCUAACAAGUACUUAAAAAAAGAGAUUAAAGAAUUUGUUAGUGAGUUUUCGUCGUGUCACAUUAUUUAAUUUGCCUACGAUGGAUAUAUAUACACAAUAUAUUACUGUAACGACUUAGCCUACUAAUAUUUAAUAUCGUGGUCACAUGUGGCUGGGAACGAAAUCAGGAAUUAAAUUCGAGGGGAUCAAAAAUACAAAAUAUAUUUAUCUUUAAAAAAUUUGUAAAGCAAAUUAUAAUAAAUGUUCGAUAUACAGGGCACAAGCUUUUUACUCUCUUUUUUUUUUUUUUUUUUUUUUGACUUUGGCCUCUAAAAUUUAUAGUAUUUAAUUUUAUUUUAUUACACCAUAAAUGAGGACUUUUAUGUAGAUUUUAAAAAGUUGAGAAGGGCCAUUGCCACCUUAAGCUUCUCAAUAAUUUCGGCUCUGCAUUAAAUUCUUGCACUCUUUCACAUUAUCUGAAAUAGAACUAUUUAAAUGUUAUGCUUAUAUUUCAUCUAUUAUUCCAAAAAAAAAAAUCUUAAUUUUUAACCCAAAAAAAGAAAUCUAUAGCGCUAGCAUUAUCAACCUUAAAUGUUUUCUAUUUGUUUUUGUUUUUGUUUUUUUGUUAUUUUUCAAAAAAUCAGGAGCGUAAUCUUCUAAUAUCCUAAUCCUAUCCCCAGUACUCUCAUUGAGACUUGAACCUACACUCUCAUCCUAUGUCUUAUUAAUGGAAACAUUGUCACAAUCGCUCUCCGAUAUAGCGAAUUACGGAUAAGAUAAGUCGUUUUUGAUGAUGAAGUUUUUAAUUAAUAAUUCAUAUGGUUAGAUAUAACCUAAAAUAUUUUAAAUUUUUCAACAUCAAAUUUUAUAAUUUUUUAAAUUAUUAUAAAACUCAUCUAGUGGGUAUGGACUGUCAAAAUCGAAUGAUCUCCUUAUAACAAAGAAUAAUAUUUUUAAAUUUGAGAUCGGAGUUGUUGAUCUUGAUUUAUAUAGUAAAUUAAAAGAUUCUUCUGUACCGUUAAUUCGGAAAUACUUCACACUGGCCGUUUAAAAAUAUAAAUUUUGAAACUCGUUAACCCUAAGCUAUGUAUAAUGUCAAAAAAUUUAUAAAUUUUAGCUAGUAAAAAAAUUGAAUUCUUUAAAUUAUAUUUAAUAAUAUCAAUCAUUGAUUUGAAAUUUUAUUUUUAAAAAUAAUUUAUGAAUGCGAAAAACCACCUUACAUAGGACUUGGUCAAAUACAUUGUAUUAUAUUCACAGCUCACACAUCCACAUCCCCACACUGGAGUCAACGAGGACCAGUCUCAGUGGGGACGGGCCCCACCCCACCCCCACGCGACCCCACCGCGCACGCGCAGGUCAACAACGCCCGCGGAGACCGACACGUGUCCCUAUCGGUGGCUCCGAUCUCACCGACACGUGUCGGCCCCUCGUCCCGUCUCAGCCGCGACGGCGUACGCAGAGAUGCCCCUCGAGGCAAGAGCCUAAUGAAUGCGGGGGUGGUGGGCCCCACCCGCCUAUCGUACAUUUUGACCAAUCAUAAAUUCGCCAAAAAAAAGAGAGGAGAAAAUUCACAAAUGAUCUCGGCCGUCCGUUAUUCUGACGGCUAAGAUCAUCCGGGGAGCACUAACCUUUUAAUUUGGGGAAAAUGAUGGGGUUUAUUUACCGCUUGGGUGGUGAAAAAUUUGUUGGGACCCCUUCAGCUAAAGACGAUUUUCAAAUUGACCCCUUAAUUUUUGUUUCUCUAGAUAAUUUUUUUAAAAAAAUUUUAAACAUUUUCAUAUUAAACUAAUUUGGAAACUCUACUAAUGAUUUACUUUUCACCGAAUAAAAAGUACAAAUUUUCUUAAAAAUUAACGGUCGUCAAAUUUAAAGUAAACGACAAAUCUUAACUUAAACACUAAUGAUGGGCGCAUUUCUAAAUGCCCUACUGUUGAGGGAGCUGAAUAUAAUUUUUACCCUUUUUUUUUACCCUUUAAAAGAUUUAAAAUAUACAUAUAUAUAUUCCUACAUAAGUUGACUAGUAACUUUUCACUAUUAGGACCAUUAUGCCCCUACAAAUAAUUUUUUUUUCUAGAUACUUUGAAUGAGGAUGUACUAUUUAUGUAGAAUAAUCAAAUAAACAUGUUUAAAAUAAAAUAGAUAUUAAAUAUAAUUAAAAGAAUAUUUAUUCUGGUGUACAAUGAUCAUUUUAUAUUAAAAUAAAUUAAUUUUAAUCCGUCAACUGAUAUAGAGAGAUUUAUUUAUAAAUUAUAAAAAUUUAGAGGGAUAUAUUCAUAAUAAAAAUAUAUAGAACUUAUCUAUAAUAUACAUUGCAUUCAACUACCAAAUUCUUUAAACUUUAAUUUUAGUAUUUAAUGGCUCUCUAGUAAACUAAUUAUUUAUUUUAAUAAAUUUAUAGCUACAUAAACUAUAUAAAAUAUACCAAUUAAAUAUGUAAAGAUAAACUAUGUAUUUAAAUUUUUAAAGUUGAAAAAAAUCAUUAACCAGCUCAAAUGAUCAAAUCAAAUAAAUUAAAGUAUCAGAAAAUAAAAUUAAAAUUCUUAAAAAUUAGAUAGUUAAAGUAAAAUGGGUGAUAGUUGAGAUAAGUUAUAUUAUACACUUUUUACCUAUAUUUAAUAGUAAAAUAAUUUUAUAAGAAUAGCUAUGUAACAAUUUCAGUGCUUUGUAGGGACAAAUAUGCAAUUAACCCCUUUUUUUCCAUUAUUUUAAUGUGCACCCUCUCAAACCCGAAUCUAUUACUUUAGUCCCUGGGAAUGGAGUGGACUGAUAAUAUUACACAUAUAAUAUAGAAAAAAUAAAAUAAUAAUUAUAGUUAGUAAAAAAAAAAAAGAAAAAGAUGGAAAUUUUUCAUCUGCAUUUGGUCUUCCCCUUCACACCUCCCAAUCCCACCAAAGGCCAUGGAAACACCACCACCCCUUCUUCCUCUUCUCCCCCACCUCCAUUUUGGCUCUUCCCCCAAAUCCAUGGUGAGCUCUCCUUUUCUGGUUUAAUUUAUGGUGUGAUUUUGAUGCAAAACAAUCUAUAAAAGAACCUCUUUUUUGUUGUGUUGUUUUUGUUCCUUUUUAGAUCAACCAAAUCUUCAAAAGAAAGGAAAAAAAAAAAGGAAAAAAAAAAUCUGAUCUUGGUUGCUUUUUUUCUUCUUUUUAUUUUUCAGAUGCUGAAUCACUGAGAUUUGUAAGGCUUGGUUUGUGUUGAUCUUGGUCUGAGAUGGAGGAGGUGGAAGAAGCUAAUAAGGCAGCUGUUGAGAGCUGCUACAGAGUUCUAACCCUUCUUUCCCACUCCCAGGAUCAUCCAAUUCAGCAUAAGAUUGUUGUAGCAGAGACAGGGGAAGCUGUUUCCAGGUUCAGAAGAGUUGCUUCCAUUCUCAGCAACUGCAAGGGCCAUGCCAGGGUCAGAACUGAAAAGAAACCCCUGCCCAAAUUCAACCACAGAAUCUUCUUGGAUUUCCCAUCAUCCACUAGUAGCAGAUUAGAUAAUAGCCAAAGAUCACAGUUUGGUGCUGUUUCAAGGGCCACAACAGCCCAAUUGAGCCCCAAGCUGUUCAUCGAGAAGCAGCCGGUUCCGGAAUUGGAUUCGACUCCUAAGUUAGCCCAUUUCCAGCUCGCGCCGCAGCCCGGGCCUUUCCACUUCCAGUUCCAGCAGCAUGUGAGGUUCCAGAAUGAGGUCUUCCGGAGGGCCGGCAAUGAGAUAAGCUUCAAGAUCGAGGAGUCGAGCCGCGGGGGGGCGACCGCGUCGUCGAACACGAACCGGUCGUUCCUGUCCUCGCUGAGCGUGGACGGCGAGGCGUUCAGUCUGAUCGGCGCGGCGCCAACGCCGCCGGACGUGGCGGCCGCGCGCCCCGCGCCUAUCAAGAGGAAGUGUCAUGGCAAAGGGGAGGAUGGGAAUGGCAAGUGCUCUAGCAGUGGGAGGUGCCAUUGCUCGAAGAGGAGGUUGGAUGAAUCAUAAAAGAGAUAUUGUAUGUUACUACAUUUGGAUUUGGAUUGGUUCAUAGCAAAUAAUUUUCAUUGUUUCAUUGUUUUGGUAGGAAAUUGAGAGUGAAGAGGUCCAUUAAAGUGCCUGCCAUUAGCAACAAGCUUGCUGAUAUUCCCCCUGAUGAGUACUCAUGGAGAAAGUAUGGUCAGAAACCAAUUAAAGGUUCUCCUCAUCCCAGGUAUGUUUACAUGUUGUAAUGAGAUAUUCUCGACUUAAUUCUUUGUGCUGAGCAUCAAAUAGAAUUGCUUGGGUAGCGAAAUGAUCACUAAAACUAUUUCAUGAAGUUCGUAUUGUGAUGUAAAUUAGUGUUGAAGUAGGUUGGCUGCGGACUUUGUGGUGCCUCUUUAUAGUUUAGAUUCACAUACUUGACUAGAUAUAAAAAAUUUUGUUUACCAGAUUGUUUAUUUGCUGGUUACUAUCAAAACAAUGACGUAAAAGUCAUAUCGGUUCCCGCAUUUGAUGUGAUAAUUAGUGUGUUUGUCUUAGGUGGCUCAUUUGUGUUGAAAACAUUUACUUGGUAGUUUUGUAUGUAUUUUGGAUUUAUAUUCAGUUUUGUAUCUUCUUUUGUCAUCCCUGCUAUUUCUCAAUUACAGCAACUGACAAAGUUUACCACUAAAAUUUGAUUCAGGGGAUACUACAAAUGCAGCAGCAUGAGGGGUUGCCCUGCGAGAAAGCAUGUCGAGAGGUGCUUGGACGACCCUUCGAUGCUCAUUGUUACUUACGAGGGGGAGCACAACCAUCAAAGAUCACAAGCUCAAUCGGCGCAGACAUAGAAGAGACUUUUUGAGUUGUAUAACUGAAAGAAACCCAUUCAAGCCUCUUGUUAUGAAAAAUGAUCCGACUUGUGACCUUUUAACGGCGGAAUAGAGAUCCUGAAAAGCAUUGAGAGUUCAUUCCCCCUGUAAAAGCAGAUAGAACAUGGGCGCGUUCACGAGGUGUGGAAAGUGUUGAUCCUCGCAUUUUGGUAAGACUUGAGUUUGAUCAAUUGAGAUUCCCGAUGUAGUCUGAUUGCGAAAAUCUUUGAUGUCAAAAGUUGGAAAUUUGAAGCUGGAACUGUAGCUUCUGUAAUCCUGGGGUGCAAUGGAAGGUCAUGAAUUUGCUAAAAAAAAUUUCUGCUAAAUUGCAUGUUUCAGAACUUCCCUUUCUCUUGCUUUUGUGCAUGACUUAAUCACAGCAUACUCUAUGGUAAUUUUUUGCCAUAUAAAAUUUGGUACAUCUUCAACUUCUUCUGACACUUGAAACUUCCAAGAACCUUCCAGUUGAUGCAGUUCUUGAGAAUGCCAUUGGUUUUGUUAUCAUGAACCACAUGAACUGCAAGUACAAUAUCUUCUUCCUAUGAAACCCUUAUUUUGCGGGCGAUGUUAUUAACACAGUCAUAUUUACUAUUAAGUAGGAGAUUUAUACUGUCUAAAAUUAAUGUUUGUUGGUUGGGGAACAGUUUUUUAUUAAAUAGGUAGGCACUCCACAUGGUACUUACAAUAAUAGCCCAAUCUCAUUAAGCCAUGUAAUCUUACAAAUGUCAAAUCAAAGAUAAUAAGAUAAUUCCAAGUAGAAAAAGAUGAGAGGAAAAAGAAAGAAAUUUGUUUUUGUACUUCUAUGUAAGAUGGCAAUAUGUGAUUGGAUGUUAUAAAGCCAAUCAUUUAAUUCUCUGCUAAUGUUGAUUAAAAAGCCCAAAAUUUUGGAUACCAUUUCCUUUUCUUUUCCUCAUAAUGUUGAUGAGACAUUGAGUAGAGAACUGGAGAUUUUAGCUAACCAAGUUUGGUGCAGUAUAAGCAUUGACUAUAAUCCAAAUCAAAACAAGAUAAGAAAGGGUCCUAACAUAACUUGUCAUAAUAUAUUUACCCAUAUGCUUGGAUAUAAAUAUAUCUGACUUUAACUAAUCAGCAUUAACACUCUUGGAAUCAAGCUAGUAAUAAUAUCGAACCAUAACAAAAGCGCGUGCUAAAGACGCGAUUACAAACUAAACUAAGAGGCUUUUGAUCUUCAUGUUCUUCUUUUGCCUUGGAAUAGAAACCAAGUUUUAAGUAUAUUUAAACCUGGAUAAGGGGAUUGCAUCGGAGAUCGGUAACGUUUAGCUUUAAGUCAAAUUAAUCUAAUCCGUGAUAUGCCGCCGACCAAUCAAGUUUGUUAACAAACAGCUAAGGAUGAAUUAUUCUAUGGUUGUCUUAUUGCCUUUUCUGGGUUCUGAAGCAAUCUUGUGCCUUUGCUUUUCUACAUUGUAAAUGAUCCACUUGGCCAUAAGUUGGGCUAAAAUUUCUACAGCUAGAUUCUUUCUGAGAUUUUCUUUUGUUUUGUUUUCUUUUUUUCCCCUUCUAUCUUCUCUUAAUCUUGAUUAAUUUUUCUACCAAUGCGACGAAAACGCAUAAAUUUUGCCUUGACAUCCAAUUGGUGCUUAAUCCGCACGCAAAAUGUCAUAAUUAAGCUUGGAUUAUUGUAUUGUAGUAUGAUUGUUAUAUUUUAAUGGAGUGGUGGUGCUCAAGGACAUGACUUGUAUAUGGAAUCUUGACCUUGCAUUAAUGCAAAACAUUUUUUAAAGCUCAUCAAAUAUUUGGCACUAAUCUCGAUGUGAACGCGGAAUUAAACAACUCUUAGACUUAAUCCAGAGCUAGGUUGAGCUGCAAAUAGGGUGAUUUACAAAUUAGAAAUGCUUGGGACCAUUCAAAUUGUCCAUAUGAGCUAAAAAACUACACUCUGAGGAAUUAGUAAUCUAAGAAGAGAUGUAGCUUUCUAAAGGGAAAAAAAAAAAUGUCGAAAGAACCAAAUCUUAUAAAAAAUUCUUCAACAGCAAGAAUUAAAAAUUUCAGCUAGAUGUCCUUUAUAUAAUACUUGAGCUAGUCUUGCGAAUCGCGAUAUAAAUAUCGCUUAAUUUAAUUUGUAAACAGGUUUUAAAAUUUUACUGACUCUGAGGAUUUCCAACAAUUGUCAGAUACUAACAAAACAACAGCCCCAGAAAUCUACAUAGAGAUUAUGUAAAGGAACCUCCUCAAACUAUAGGCCAUUUUCAAGUAUUUCCCUUGAACCUUUGUUUUAAAUAAUAAUUAACAACUCCACAACAUUUUAUUCUUUCAAUCUAAAUCCUACUUAAAAUAAUUGAAGAUUUAGCUGAAUUUAAUGAUCAUCCUAUAAAAUUCAUUUGAUCUGAACAUUUAUUAAUUGAUUGAUUAAAGUGCAGAGUUUCUUUUAACAGUUAACAAUUAAUAACUCGCAGAAUCGUCGGAACAAAUCCUCGAAGUCAAUUUAGAAAAAUAACUCAAAUGAAAACAACUUAGAAGGUGAUGAGAUCUCACCCAAUUAGUUGAAGAGUCUACUUCAGAAUUAUGGCCUUUUAUUUAGUCCCAUGCAUGCAAUCUUUUUCUUCCCCCCACCACCCCCCAAAGAAAUAAAUAAAUGAAGGGCUCCCAUCACAAUCCUGCACUGAAUUAUAUCAGAAUACAAACAUUCUUUCUUCUGGCAGAAACUGAAGUGCUUGGUCUGGAAACUGCAUAACACCAUAAAUGGGACAAAUCAAUGUGUGAGAAAUUCUCCAACCCAAUUGCAGGAAUCUGAUUGUCCAAUUGCAGUACUAGAAUAUUAUGAUCACAUCAAGCAUGAAAUUUUUAUGAGCUUAGCAUGAUUUUUAGGUUACCACUUAUGUCCACUUCACAAUACAUAAAAAAAAGGGUUAAACUGCAUAUGUGUUCCUACAGUGCAGUGGAAUUGACAAAUUCAUUACUACAUAGUUUUAGUUACUAAAUACAUCUCUCAAGAGCACUUUGAAGUUGACUUAUUAUUUUCUAUGAAAUGAUCAUUUUGUCCUUGCGUACUAUUUGGCUGGACGUAAGUGUAAAUGCACCACAGUCGAAAAUAUAUGCAGUCGGAUAUGCAGCAGCUGUAGUUAUAUGCAUUUUAUAGAAAUCGCUACAACGAUAAAGAAUUUGUUUGAUUGUAUGCAAUUGAGAAAUGCAUUUAUAAAAUUACAAUAAUUUAUGUAUUAGGUGGUUGGAUUGCUCCCAAUGUAGGGGAAAAAAAAAGAUAGUUUAUGCUUAAAAGGUGAUUAAAGAGGUAAGGUUUAUCUUUUAUUUAAAGUUAUUUUUGUUUACUGCUGCACUUACAACUAUAGUCAAGUCGGGUAUAGUUCUAACUAUUGUAAUUGAGAUUUUUUGUGCAGUUCAACCUAUUGCAGAUAUAUUCAAACACAUCAAACUAAACAUCUAAUUUGGAUCUGAAUAUAAUUAUAAUUAUAGCGCGGUUGCAAUAACAGACAACCAAACAUCCCCUUAAAUUAGUAGCUUUCUAAUUGUAUUAUUAACACUAAUUUUCAUCUCUAAUGUUUUCAUAUUAACUUUCAUAUCAUUCCAUAUAAACCGUAAAUUAUUAUAAAUCUUGAAAAAUAUCUUAAAAAACUAUUAUUUACGAGGGUAUACUGCUUUUAACAGUGAAAUGCUAACUGUCCAUUAAUAUAGUCCACAUGUUGAGACAAAUUUACAUCUUUAAUUGAUGGGAAACUCAUAUGCAAAUGGAAAUUAAAAUUAGUAAGGAAAAAUGCCAAAACUAUAAUUUGUGUUUAGAAUUUAGUCCAUGAACCAUCACCAAUUUGGUCCAUUUCCAUUUUUUUUAAAAGAAAAAGCAUUACCAAUCUUUAGCAAAUAGCUUAGUAGUUUGAUAACACAGCUCUAGAGUUCGACUAUGGUGUUUUUAAACGCACCAAGUACUUGGUGUUUAUAAGUUUUUUCUUCGUUAUAUCUACCUCUUUGACUAUUUUCAUUCGUUAGAUCAUACUAUUCAAUCAAUCAACCACUCACUUAACUCUAGAAAAUCACUAUCAUCUUAACUGUACACCUCUUAAUCUAAGGAUAAAAAAUCUACAAACACCAAUAACUUAAUACUUUUAAAAGCAUAAGAGCUCAAUUCCAAAGGUCUAUAUAAAAAGAAAAAUGAGCACUAUAUUAAUAUGUUGAUCUAUGACAGUAAAGUAUAUUGUACAGAUUUUCAUCCGAAAAAAAAAAAGAAAUAGCAAAAUACCAAAUAAACUUAAGAAUUCUUAAAAAAUAUAUAUUAAAAAUAGAUUUAAAGAGAAUGUAACAAGUUGAAAUUAUGCGAAAACCAGUCUGGAUUUGAAUGAUCCAAAUCCGGAUUAGAAAAAUUAUAUCAAACCCAAAUUUGAAUCCAAAGCCGAAAAAUAUUCUAUUUUGAGAUCCAAAUCCGAGUUUGAAUCUGAAUCAGAUUGUAAAAUUUUAACCUGAAAAAUUUCGAAUUCGAAGAUCUACACCGUUUGCACCCCCAGGCCCACUAUGGAUUACUACUGGGCUACCCAUGUAGUAAUUUGAAUCCUGAUAAUUGAGAAUCUGAAAUUCUAAAGCUUCAUACUGUAAUACUCUAAUAGUCCCACAUAGGACUCGUAAUGGAAAAUGUAUGGGCUCAUGGGCCCUAGUAUUAAUAACGAGUCAAUAAUUUGAACUUAACGAGUUAUUAUUACUAGUGAAUCGGAUUGUUAUACAUAUUAACCAUCUUAUAUAUGCUCUAUAAAAGGGGCCUGAAAAAGUAGUAAAAAUAUUAAGGCUGAUUGCUUAUGUAGCCUUAAAUUUAUCGACUUUUAUAUUUUUUUCAAAAUUCUGUCCAAAAUAUAUUUCUCGAAACUUUCUUCAUUAUACAUAUAUAACUUGUCCAUUAGUUUUUUUUUUCUAAUUAAACCGGGUUAAAUUUAUUUUCAUCUUAACCAAAGUUGGAUAAAAGGUAAAAAAAAAAUUUUGCCCCUAUUUGUUAAUCUAUUUCUUCACCUAUCAUUGUCCAAUUUGUCCCCAUCCUAAUCGUUGUCCCCAUCCCAUCCCUAGAUUUAAAAAUCGCCCCCACUCCUUUCCAAAAAUCAACUCUACCCCUUGGUCCCUCACCCUCUCUUUUUUGCCCCUAUAAUAUAGUAUUUUUGUUUAUAUUUUUAGAUAUAAACUUAGCUGAAAAUAUAAAGUAACUAGCUUUCGAACUUAGAACCUCCGAUAUCAACCUUCGAGCCUUUAGCUUUCGAACUUAGAACCUCCGAUAUCAACCUUCGAGCCUUUUGCCAUUUGCACUAGAGAUGGUCGAUGAAGCAACCUGGAAUAUCGGAUACCAACUUUUGUUGAUGGAGCAGUAAUGAUGAGGCGCGGCGGAAAGAGUUAGAAGCUCGAUCGAUACCAACUUUUCGACCAUGGCUAUCUUCUUAUAAGCCAGAGAAAGAAGAUCAAGAUAACGAUAAAUAAAUGAAGUCGAUGGCCAUUUAAAAACAAAUAAGAAAAGUAUGUGACAGCAUAAGACUAUUUAAGUAAGAAACAUACUUAUUUUAUAAGAAUAAUGAUUAUUCUUAACAGUAUAUUAAGGAACGAUUUGAUUAGAUAUAAUUAGAAAUACACUAUAGUUGGAGAUACACUAUAGUUGGAGAUGUAUACAAUUGACUAAUUAUAUGUAUUUUGUUUGAUUUGAUAUAGUAGAAAAUGCUGCAAUUUAAAGAAUAGUUUGUUAAAUUGCAUGCAUCUGAGAAAUGCACUUUUAAAUUUUAUAACUUCAUAUAUGUGGUAGUGAGAUUGCCUACGAUACAGGAAAGAAAAAGCGUUUACUAUUUUAGAAGUGAUUGAGCAGAAAAGUUAACUACUGUAGUUUUAGCCAAGCAAAUUUAAGCGCACUUACAGCUGCUGUUGCAGCUAAAUCUCCUCAUACAAUUCUAAUUAUAGCAAUUAGAUUCAACUGCUAAUAGAAUCUAGGACCUUACACUAUACAGAUUUCACCUAAAGAGGGUAUCCAAGCCAAAAACUAAAAUGACUAUCUAUAACCCGUUAUAGUUCUAAGCAGCGAAAACUCGAAAAAAUUUCAAACUGAUACAAGCAAACAUGCGAAUGAUGGAGUUAAACAACAAGUGCAACAAUUUCAUAUUAAUGGAAACACUAGCGAAAAAUUUUAACUUUUAAGUACUUAUCUCAGUUGAUCUAAGUAGGUAACACAUAAGUUCCCCAUAAAAUUAAAGAACAACUCCGACGAAUAGAACUGCUUAACAAAAGUCUCAAAGGCGAAUUGAGAGCAAAACGACAUCCUCCUCAUUUCAGAGGAAUGAACCUGGAGGAGUGGGUGGCACCGAUACCGGGCCUGCCGUGCUUGACCGGCUUGUAGGAGAUGGAGAACUCUGCAAGGUAGUGGCCGAUCAUCUCGGGCUUGAUCUCAACCUGAUUGAACGUCUUCCCGUUGUACACCCCGAUGAUGCUCCCGAUCAUCUCGGGCACUAUGAUCAUGUUGCGGAGGUGGGUCCUCACGGGCUCAGGCUUCUCACCAGGAGGGCCCUCCUUUUUCUGUACAUAUGAAGUGAUUUAAGACAACAGCAGAAAAAAAAAAAAAAAAAAAGAGCACAGCAGAAAAAAAAAGGAAGAGCUUAGAUUUAACUCAACAUAACUCCAUUCAUCGGUGCUACUGCUCUACCAAAUCACAAAAAUGUAGAGGAAUCAUCUGCUCGUAUCAUGAAGAACUAUAUUACACUGCUUCAAAUUAAAAGAGUAUUUCAACAAAUCUACACGUGAAUGCCUUCUACAAUGGCUUGAGGGCUCUUGAACCUAAAAACUGACCCCAAAAAAAAAUCCAACAAAGCCUCAUUGGUUAUCGUUGGGAACCCUCACAACCUUUUAACAGCAGCAGUUUUUCAAAUCACAGAUACAAUAAUUAGAAAGAAAGAUUUAACACUUAUUUCAAACAAUUCUAAACUAAAAAUCAGAUCAAAGAUCAAAUCCAACAUAUAUUCAAUUUACAGGUAUUGGAAAUUUUGUGAGUAUGAGCUUAGAAGAAAAAUUUUGGGGCUAGGGCAGGAAAAAUUGAAAAUUGAAACAAGGAUACAAAAUGGAUCCCAAAAAUGACCAAGUGGUAUAUGUAGUGUAACGACCUAGCUCACUAGCACUAAUGACUUGUUGGGCUCAAACCAACGGCCCAAACUGCUCAAGCCGAAGUUAUUAGUAAUACUGCCUAACCAUAUGUAGAGCUCUCACACUCUCCCACAUUAUCCAAUAUAGGAUUACUGAAAUGUCACAAACUCUUCCCAUUUAGGCCCUGACAUGCUUGUCAGGCCCAAUUAAACACAAGCCUAAGAUCACUAGCAAACAUAAGACCCAUCUCACACUUUUAGUUAGCCAUUCUGGCUUCAAUACGAAACACAAGGACCCAAUCCUCCAACACCAGUAACUUUUUGGGCUCAAACCACUAGCUGAAAACGCUUGGGCCCAAGUUCUUAGUUAGCCAUUCUGGCUCUAAUACGAAACACAACGACCCAGUCCUCUUAACACCAGCAACUUUUUGGGCUCAAACCACUAGCUCCAAAUGCUUAGGCCCAAGUUCUUAGUUAUAAUGAGCCAGGUAUAUAUAAGGCUCUCACGCUCUCACAUAUUAUCCAAUGAGGGACUAUCGAAGUUUCACAUGUGACCUGAGCCUCUAUACGAUCUCAACGGACACAAAUAAAUAAGCCUCAUUGUUUAAGCCAAAUUAUAUGUUUGCACGACAGAGACAGUGGCAUAAAUCUACAGCCAAGUUCCAGCAGUGAUUGGAAAGAGACCCACCAAAACAUAGUAAUGGGAGAGGAGAAGAAAUCUAUGGAUAGGAAAGGAUGAAGAUAUCAAAAAAGAAAAGGGGCAAGAAGAGGUGCUCUGCAAAGCGUGAAGAAGGAGCUAUUAGAACCUAAAAUAGGUGUCUGCAGUCUACGCAGGAUCAGAUUCAUGAUUAUUCAAAUAUGCGUAUGGGCUGGUUGGGCUGGCCUAUUGUCAAACCUUCCUCAGGUCGGAGAGUACAGAUCUUUUGGCCCAAGUAAUCGAUCAUAAAAUCAGACUAAAAGUACACAGUUGAUCAUCAAAAACAACAAAAAGUGCUAGAACAUAAAACAUAUACAAGGAUUGGCCGCUAGCGGAAUUAAUAGCUAAAAAGUUCUUGCAUCAACCAAAUAGAAAGGCAUAUGCCAGUAAAGGGCCCAAGGUUCCUACAAAAAUCUCCAUAUGACAAGGAAAUAUCCACAUCCAACCAAGAAGGCAUCAUAUAUUCAAUUUCUUCGACUCCGCUCAAUACAAUAUAUUUACACCAGAUCCACUCAAUUUACGCAAAAUACAUACAAAUUAUAGACACAAAAUCCACACCUAAAGCAAUGAACAUCCACAAACAGGUAACACGGAGGAAAAACAAAUACAACACAGGUACUAAGAGAAAGAAGAGAUCAACAAAACUCACCGCCUUGCGCAACUUCUUGAUCAAAGCCAUCGGCUUCCGCUUCAAUCCGCGCUGAAACCUAACCCGACCCAACCAAAUCAAAUCCAACAAAAACAAUCAUCUCAACAGCCAAACCCUACCAAAAUUCUCAAUAGGAAACCAAAAAAAAAAAAAAGACAGAAAAGGGAGUGAGAGUUAGGGUUACCUCCUCCGAGCCCUCGCGUGGAAGAGCUUGACGAGCUCGUCGGUGGACAUGUCGAGGAGCGCGUCAAGGUCGACCCCUCUGAAGCUGAACUUCCUGAACGUCCUCUUCUUCGGCUGCCCCGCCGCGACAUCGGCGUCCACGUCGGCCUGCAUAGGCAAUCGAAAGAGAGAGACAGAGAGAGUGUGAGAUCGCGAUCUAGGGUGUCGAGAGAUCUCAAUGAGGGAGGAGGAAGGGGGAGCUCACCAUUGUUGGAGGAGGAGAAGGAGAGGAUGGGGCUGAGGAGGGUUCUUCCGAGAGGAGGCGGCGACGUGCUAGGGUUUGGAGUAGGGUUCGAGUGGUUUUUAUAGUGGAGGAUCUGUCACGUUCGAAUCACGUGAUCCAUCUCGUUUAUGUGCGUUUGGUGGGUAAAAGGGCUUUUUUUGGCAAAUAGCCCCCGACAAAUUUUAUUUGCAAAAAUAGUCCCGUCUAAAAAUUAUUUGCAAAAAUGGCUCUGCCCCUGCCACGCCAGCGCCACAUCAGCGCCACGCAGGCAGGGCGAGCCCAGAUGUUUAAGUUGAACACGGUGAACCAUUCACCAUGUCCAAUACAAAAAUUUUGUAUUGGACACGGUGAAUGGUUCACUGUGUCCAAUACAAAUACCCCAACAAUGGCUAAGUUUGAGGCAUUUGUAUUAGACACGGUGAACCAUUCACCCUGUCCAAUUAUUUGUAUUGGACACGGUGAAUGGUUCACCGUGUCCAAUACAAAUAGCUAUUUUGUAUUGGACACGGUGAACCAUUCACCGUAUUCAAUACAAAAACUUUGUAUUGAACACGGUGAAUGAUUCACCGUGUUCAACUUAACCAUCUGGCCCGGCCCCGCCCGCGUGGCGCUGACGUGGCACUUGCGUGGCGGGGCCAGGGCCAUUUUUACAAAUAAAUUUUUGACAGGGCCAAAUUUAAAAAAAAAUUUUAUAAGGAGGCUAUUUGCAAAAAAAGCCCUGGGUAAAAUUGACAGAGGCCCCUGAACUUUAACUAUUUUUCAAAUAGGCGCCUAAACUUUUGAUUUUGGAAUUAUAUUCUCUAAAUUUCAUCAAAUAGUUCAAGAGACCUCUUUCCUUAAUUAAAAUUAUUAAUUACAUAAUUGUAUUGGUCAUAUUAUUGCACACAGUUUUAUAAGCUUUAAAACACAAAUAAAUUUAUUUUCUAUUAUUCUAACAUACAAAAGGAGCAAUAAAUAAAAAUUUGGUUGAACCUAUUCUCCACUCGUCAUGAUUAGAUAUAAAAAUUAGAAGAAAUAAAUUUCUUUAUAUCUUGAAGUGUUAUAAAAUUAUGUACAUGAUAUUCAAUCAAAACGACUUUACAAUUAAUAAAUUUACUUGAGGAGAGAUAUCUAUUCAACUAUUUAAUAAAGUUCAGAAAAUAAAAUUAUCAAAAUUGAAAGUUUAUGUACUCCCUUGCUUUAAAGAGUUAAAAUUGAGUGGGUCUCUGUACAUUUUUAACCAUUUUAUUUUAUUUUAAAUUUUUUUUAUGGGUAAAAUAUGUUGUUAUCCUCUUUUGAUCCGAAUUCAAAAUUAUUAAACGGAACUAAAGUAAAUAACAUAAUUUGAUUCAACUUUUUCAAGUUGAUAUAAUUGUUAAAGAUUUACUUUUUGGUUCCGUUUGAUUUUGAAACCAAAUCAAAAAGAAAAUCAAAUAACCAUUGUUUGAAUCAAAUUGUAAACGCACUACAUUGCCAAAGUAAACCAGGUUACUUAGUCAGUAAGGUGAGGCCUCAGAAGAGCUCCCCCAAAUAGCUUCUGGUGAGUGAAGUACCCCAAACCAGUUACACAUUGCAGAUGAAACUCACACUAGAAAGAGUUAACAUUUCAUAUGUGACAUCCCAAGAUUUAGAAGUCUUACAUAUGAAACAUCUUAGAAACAUCUUAAUCCGAUUAUAACAUUUUGGACAGUUGUUACAUCCAAAAGAUUAAAAAGAUUAAGUGCGCUAACCUGCUAGGACUAGAGAAGUUCUAGAAUAGGUGACUCUUCAUAGUAUCAGAGCCAAUCAUUAGUCGAAAGUAUAAAAUGAGUCUUGUGUGAGCAAGGUUCACACAGCAGGCAGAGGACAACUCCCCAGGCUAACAAUCAUGGCGAAUGUUAUUCUCAAACAGGAAAGUUGAAAAUCAAAGAUACUAUAAGAAGAUGCUGAGACAACUAAAGGAAAUGUGAGCCAUCAUUAGCAUUUGCUUAUUUUCCAAUAAGAAAAGGUUUCAGAAAAGUUGAUAUAGAUAGAAAUAUGUAGCACAAAUAUGCAAAACUGCUAUGGGAAGAGAAUGUUAAUCCAAUGAUUUAUCCAUCAGAGAAGAAGUUCAGCGCCCAAAAACAAUUAGGUUUUAAACUAAAAGGCCGCAGUAGACCCAUUCAAAUCAUUCUAACGAAAUUGAGAGCAAAACCCAGGGAUGAAUUGCCUGAAAUAUUGUAUACAAACAAAUAAUUUUACAUCUCUAACAGUACCUAGGAGAUGGUACAACAUUGUAUUCAUAGCUUCAGUUUCCAAAUUUGCAAUACGAAUUUCCAUGAUUUAGUUUACUAUUUGUAUAACUUUACUAAUUAAUCGUAAAACUGCAGCGAAGAAAAGCAAGCGAUCCUGAUAUAUAGUGGUUCUGCCAGUCAUCCUGCACCAUACGCUUAAGAUGUAAAAAUGCAAUAAACACGCACACAAAAAGAAAAGGUCAAAGAAUGAAAGAACAGCAAGAACUGAACAAGCGGCUGCUCUGUGCUCAUCCAAUUCUAAGAAAAGAAGAUCCAUGUAUUAGACAGAAAAGAUAAUCAACUGCAAUUACAAAAAGGACCACACUGAAAGAAUUUACAUAAAGCCAAAUAUAGUUUUCCCUUUGCCAUUUUGUCGGCCACAUUAUUCAUUAGUCAACUUGCUGAGGCUACCGAAAAAGAAAACAAGUCUAACAGCCUACCAAGUACCAAAAACGGAUAUGCCUAUUAAUACACUGUGCAUUUUCAGCUUACUGCAUGAGAGACUUUGCUAGCAUAUGUUUCUUCUCUAUAGCAGCACUACAAGAAAUUAUGGAUCUUUAUAGUAGAAAAGACAGGAAACAUACAAAAAUGGUACUUAUCUUCAAGUCUUUGACUUCAGCUUCAUGCGUGCGAGAUAACUUCGUUAUGGGUUUCAAAUGUAGACAUUUAUCAGUAUCAAUGGGAAAGAAGGGAACAUUAUGGCGUGAGAAAAGGAAAAAGAGGGGGAAAAAAGAGGUGAAUAAUAAUAAAAAAAUAAAUGAAAAAUGAAGCAAGGGGUCAAAAUGCCUAAAGAGAUUAAAACUCAAUCCAGUUACAAAUUCAUCUUGCACGUUGCAAGAUAAUUCCUCAAAUCCCCUAAUAACAACUGAUCAGACAGUUUUGAUAUAUCUACUAUGACCCUUCUAAACUCUCAUAUAUAAGGUAAAAAUCAGAAAAAACAAAUCAGUCAGGUUUCCUUACGAUUGACUCAUAAUUUUGGUAGACUUUUAACUUCUUAAAGUCUUUAAAUUGUUUAGAAUAUUAAAGUUAAGAGAAAGAAGAAGUUUGAGAAGAAGAGCAUGAGAAUUAUGUCGAAUAGAAUCACAUCAAAUAUUUAUUAACUAAUAUCAUAUCAUGGUAGAACUAUAUAUAAUCUGAACAAGAUAUAGAGAACAAUGAUUGUACAAUGUCAAGGUUCGAUCAGACCACAUCUAGACAAACCUAUUCAGACCUUGAUAACAUCAAGAUGGUAGGCAUCCGUAAAAUUAUCGAUCACCAGUUCGACUCUGGACAGCAAGCGAACUUCCCAUCUAUUAAAUCUCUAAUCGGACUAGUUAAACUGUUGAUGGACAAGAGUUGAUGCUAGCAAAAUAGAAAAUCCAGAUCCAGCUAAAACUAGAGCAUGUUAGUUUUGGACCUAACUUGUAUGUGCUCAAAGUAAUCCUCUUCAUCAAAAUUAGGUUGCACACUUGCAUUGUUAGUUUGUCUCCACAAAAUUGACUUACAUCUAUAUGACUAUAUCGUACCUCUUAUAUAGCUGAAGAUGUAUAUAAUGUAUGUAUAGGUUCUUUGUUAGCUGCAAAGUUGCUAUAUUUUUCUAGUCAUAUUCCAAAACCCCUAUGGCCACAUAAAACCCAAUAAUCUGUGAAUAAGGCAAUGUGAAUGUUGUUGUUUUAUGUCAAAGAGCACCUUACGUAACAAAGUUCAUCAGAAAAAAAUGUAAAACUUUGGAAUGUCCUCUACUCUUUACCUAGAUGGAUAUCCGCACUAUCCAAAAAUUGAGAGAUAUUGGCAAUCAACUAAUGAUUAGACUUUUCUCACGUGUUAUAUUAAAUAACAGGCUAAUGAUUAUAUAAAGUUACCCACGUAGACUUUCACAAGUUAUGCAAGAAAAGAUUUAAGCCCAAUCAUCAGGAAUUUCACAAAAUGAUGUAGAAAUUUGCAGUCGUAUCCUAAUCUCUCGCAACACUGGCACAACGAAUGGAUCUUUACCAAUUGAGCCACAGCAGCAGCAGCAAAAAUUUCAGAUUACAUCAUGGAUACAAGUUUAAUUUUCAAAGCACCUGAAAUAGUUCGAUUUCAAGCAACUUUCUUCCAUCAAGUAUGGAAAUAAACGGAUGCAACCAACAGAAAGCCGUUAAAAAUGAAGAAAAGAGAAUGCUUAACACGAGCACUCACGAUCUGUCAGACGAUCUAGCGACUUUCUUUUUAGUUAUCUCUGGUGAAGCAAAUUACGGGAAACAAAGAAAAGCAGUGUAAUCCUGUUCCAACAUCUGUCAAUGACAUAAACUCUGAACAAGGAUUAUAAGGAUUAGUCGCGAAAUAAGAGUUCGCGACACUAACCGCUAACAUGUAGAGGCUCAAUACCCCAACUAUUCUACGCAGGAUGAAGCAUGACCAAAUCAAUCUCUUAUUCAUAUCGAAUUUGAAUUCCUUCACAGUAACAGUUCAAAUACCUCUAAAUACCUCUAAAGUUUUUACAGAAAAGGAAUAAAAAACGGAGCAAAGGAGUCACCUUCAAUACAUCCCGCGACUGUUGUUGAGGAUCGAACUGAGGGUCCCCAACACAGCGAACGCGAGGAGAGGGCUAACGUCGAGGGUAUCGAACACGGGCGGGAUGAUGUUGCGGAAGAGGUUGAGGUAGGGGUCGCAGAGGUCCCGGAUCGCGGAGAGGGGCUGGCGAUCCCAGGGGAUGUUGGGGAACCAGCUGAGCAGGACCCGGACCAUGAGGACGCCGCUGUAGAUGUCGAGCCACUUGGCCAUGCCCGCGGCGACGACGGUGAGCGGCGUGUUGAGGUACCCGGAGGGGCGGUCGCGGAGCGCGGCGAAGAAGAGGGGCCCGCCCAUGGGGGAGAAGGGGAGCUGCGGCGCGGAGGGGGGCGGCGCGGCGACGAAGCGGGAGAGGAGGGCGCGAGAGGCGGAGAGGGCGAGGGAGAGGAGGGUGGUCAGGGUGCGGGUGGAGGAGGAGAGGAGAGGAGGGGGAGGGGCGAGGGAGGAGGAGGAGGAGGAGGCCUUUAGGGUUAGGGUUAGGGUUUUGGAGCGGAGGGGAGAGGGGGAGAGGCGGAGGAAGAGGAAGGGUCGUCGGGGAGUAGGGUUAGGGUUAGGGUUUCGGAGGGAGAGGGCGGCGGCGGUGGAGGAGACGAGGGUGGCGGCCAUUGUUGACGUGGGGUUUGGGAAGCGUGAGGGAAGGCGAAGGGGAUAAUGGUGUGGGUUUCGUUAAUUAUUUUGCGAUGUUACUCGUGUAGAAGAUAAAGAGUAUCUAUACUUCUAUACUAUAUACUAAAAUCCGUGAGGAGUUUUUGUUUGCGACGCAAGUCGAUAUGGUAUAGUGUAACUGGAUCUAAGUCAAAAAAUAUAACUUUAUUUCAAUAAAUAUAUUUAAAAUUUAUACUUUUUUAAACAUACAUAUUUUGAAUAUUAUAAAAUAUAAUCAAUAAAUUAAAUUUUAAUUUUUAAAUUGUUUAUAAUUAAUUUUUAAAGGUAUCAUGUAUAAUAUUGUAAAUCGAAUCCAAUACACCAUAAAUUGGUAAUAAAUUGAUAAUAAAGAUAUUGAGUGCACCUUGUGCAGUAUAGAUAAUGAAACUGCUCUAUUUCAAUUGGAUCUAUUGGGGAGAUAAUCUCUUAAUGUGCCAGCGUGUACUCUCUCUUUUACUUAAUUUUUAUUUAAUUUAAUAUUUAUAUUUUUUUCUUUUCUCUUUUCCUCUCUCACCGAGAAAUAUGCAUGUUACUUUCCUUACUCGCUCAGUUUAAUUUUUAAUUUAAUGCUUUCUUUUUUUCCUUUCUCCAAACAAAAGAUAUAAAUAUUUAAAAUAAUUUUAAACUUUAAUUUAGUAAUUAUAUAUUUUUAAAAAUAUUUAAUGUUUAUUUUUUAAAAUUAUGAGUAAAAUAUACUAUAUUUGAAAGUUUAAAAAUGCUCUCUCUCUCUCUGACUUCAAUUUUUACUUCAACUUUUAUUUGACGACAUUAAACGACUUUACAAGUUUACAUAAUGUAUAAUAUAAUAUAAUAAUUGUGAGUUUAAAAAUUGCACCCGCUGCAAAGCAUGGGUAUAUUGCUAGUAAUAAAUAGUUUUUUAUGGGGAUGUAAUAGUUGAAUUAUAUAGGAAUUUUUGGUGCAACUAUUACCACUAAAAAAUAUUGCUGUUUGUGACACAGAAAAAUAUUUUUAUUUUCAGUAACAGAGCAUUCGAUAUUAUUAGUAAUCCAUUUUUUUUGAACUUUUUUUAGGAUUUAAAUUUCAUAAAUCUUUCAGCACACUUUUUUAUUAUUUUAGUGGUCUUAAAAUUGGCUAUUUUAAACGACUAUUAUCAUAUAAAUUUAAAAUCACUAGAAUAUUAGAUAAAUUAUGUUAAAAAAUUAUAAUAUUUAAGUUUUAUAAAAUUUAAAUUUACAGUCGAACACGUGCCGGCUCGCUCAUUCGCUAGCCCUUGUUCUAAAUCAAUUUUCUAAAAUAAGACAAAUUAUAUCAUAGAUAAUAUAUAUAUUAUUCUAUCAAAUCAUAAACAAUAAGACUUUUAAGGGGCAAAUAUCAAACUCCUACUUUAGAAUUAUAUAUAUAUAUAUAUAUAUAUAUAUAUAUAUAUAUACACUGAAUAAGUUAUCAAAUAAUAGAUGAUUCCAAAGUCCAAACAAAGCGUAAAUAGUUCUUAAAAAGGAAUAGGUAGCAAAGUAGAACCUUAAUAAAAGUUCAGAGCUACUAGUACAAUUACCCUAAUUUUUAAAUGCCAUAUGGUUGGAGCAUUACCAUUCAAUUUCACCUCAAAUUUCCAGUCCCUACCACAAAACUGCUUCUCAAGCCCCGGAAUUAGUAACAAAAAGAUUAUAAGCAUUUACUGUGACUAGAAGCUAAUUGAUAAGUUUUUGUUGUAUGAGAAGCUACAGGAGAGAGAUGAAGCUCCAGCAGUAUCAAACAUGCCUCAUAUAAAAACUCAAUUGAAUCUACCUACUUUAAAAGUGCCUUAAACACCCAUAUAUAUCAUCCAAGAGAUGCAGAAAAUAAGGAAGCAAACACUGGCUAUUCACACUUCACAUUGCUCUUACCCCCUGAAAGUCGCAAGUCCGGCGCAGAAGCAGCUGCUGAUCUCAAACCCUAAUAUCGGGCAUUCAACUUCAUACAGUGAACUAUAAAUGAUGUACAUGUGAAAAAAGAUUAGAGCUGCAUAACCGCAAAAAACUUCGUGUUAUUACUAUACCGUAUGCGCAACAAGCCUUACGCUCAAUCCUCUUUCUACAUUAUACUGUUCAAUAUUUUUCGCACAACUACGUGAUCUGAAAGUUUAAAAAAGGGUAAACAGACAUAAUUACUAUUUCAUCGAACGCCCAAUUUAUGAGCUUGUAUCUGAACUUCCGUGAGAGGUUCAGAAUUGCGUCUGUGCCUUGCUCCCCGAGACACUCUCAUUGUGCUAUCCCUGGACUAUAAAGCUAGAAAAAACCAUUACCAUCAAACCUAACCUAGUAAGCUAUAACAACCUGAUCUUCAGCUAAAAUUAAAGCUAAAGAACAUUUCCAUCAAACCCUAACCUGGUAUGCAAUAACUACCUGUCUUCAGCUACCCUCGCAUUCUACACAAAAUCGUAUAUUUUCAGCAAAAGGGACUCUAUAACGAAGCACCGGCUAAUGGACAGCUGCAAGCUUCAAGUGUAUACCAGCUUCCUCCAGCUUACUGCACAGAGUAUCAAAAGGUGAAUAUGAGAGAUGGUGUAGAAAUAGAUAAAACUGAAGGAACAAAAGAAAGAAUGCAACCAAUUAACUCAAAAUCUUAAGAUAUGGACAGAUGGCCCUGUGAAGCAUCAUGUAAGAGAUUAAUCUCGAAAAGCUUCAGCAAAUAGCUUCCCAACGUUGGUUUAGAAAAGCUUAUGCAUUGUGCGGAAAAUGAACUAGAUAUCACACUCAAGGAAUAUUCUAAGAAAGUCAUAUUGAAAAAUAUGAGGCGCCAUUUAAAAUAACAUAACUAAACUCAAAUAAUAUGCAAUUCAAUGCAGGGGCAGAUGGAGUUCUCUGUUAUUGUAAUUGUGAUUGUUUGUUUGCUUACAAACUUGUCUUAAUAAUAAAAAAAAAAAAAGAGGAAAUAAUUGCGACUUUUUUACGUUUCUUGUUGCCAUACAUAUUGUACAGAUUGCAAACACUCCAUCACCAAGUGAAGCAUUCAAGCACAUAGAAUUUGAGUUUAAAAAGAAAAAGGAAAAUGUAAUCAGUACUAAAGGAGGCCUAGGUUAGCAUUCAACAUGGAAGGCUCGAUGGCAGUUUCAAAUAUAGUGGUUGUUUGGCAUGACACAAACACUCAAUGCAGUACAGUCAAAUAUUCCCUGACAGGAAGUAAGUUGGAUAAUAUGUGUAACUCACCAUCUUUCUUUCAGUUAAUAUUUUUCUUUACUUUUACUACAGGGAUUGAAGAAUCUUCUCUUUCAGGUUACAUAACCUUCUAAAGUCUCAAGUGAUGCAUUCUACUUUGUAUAAACAAAACCAACUUAAAAAGUAUCCUGCUCAUUUCUAUCUCCUCAAUUGAAUUUUUAAGUAAAUACCAGUCAAUAAACAUUCCUAUAAAGGCAAUACAACCUAACUUUCCAUUUUGAUGUCAUUUCAAAUGCUAAACAUGCUAUUCAAAAUCCAGGUAGGAUUAGUCAUUGACUAUUGGCUCUCACAGGAAGCUUAGGAAAGAAAUCAGCUGAAGGAAAGCCAUUACUCCAAUUUUGCAUUAUCCAUGAAGCCUAGGCACAUGUGAUCUUAAAAUUUAAUCACAAGGCAUUCCAAGCCAAGGCUCAAUCAAUUCCAAGUCAGAAGUCUACUUUUGGCCAACUAUGUUUAGAUAGGUUAUGUUUUAUUGUUUCGACAUGGUAUUUCCUAAUUCUACGGAUUAAUGUAUAGUUUGCUAUAAUUCCUAAGAGUCAUAGUCGAAGAAAAAUCCUCCCAAAUUGUAUAGAUGAACAACCUACCUGAUCCCUAUUUUGUAUCAUAUCAAAGGGUGAAUGCUCACAAAAUUAUAUGCAAAGAAGGCUCGUAAAAAUGCGGACAAAGGAUACACCUUCAGUCUUUCUUAUACUUGACAUGGGAAAACUAACACAAGAUUAUAAAUAUCUUUAGAUUCCAUUAAAAGCAAGAUAUGAAUCUUAUUGUAGCCUUAAGUAUGUCAUAAAGUCCAUCUCUAAAGUUUCUCAUCUAUGGAGGUUUCGGUGCUAAACAGAAAAGUUGUUUCACAUAGUUAAAGCUGAAUUGCAGCUAAAUUUGAUCUCAGUGAGGGAGAAGGCCAAUAAAAAUCCAUUGAAAACUAUAACAAAAGACGGAGAUCAACAUAAUCUUCUAGCCACAGUUGGCUAAAAAAAUAAUAGUAAACCAAUUAAGUCUCAAAGAACUUCAACGGCGAUCAAGAGAAAAACCUUAAAUAUAAAAGUGAUUGUAGCAGAGAGAAAUCUCUAAAGACUAUGUAAGUCCAUAAUAAUUCCCAUUUACUUUACAUUUUGAAAGAGACCCCUGAAAUUUCUUUCUUUUUGUUUUUUAUCCUAUUGACGACUUCUCGACUUUUAUGUACUUUCAUUGAGUUAUAUUCAUUGAUUAAAUUGAGAAUUUCACAGUCCAUUAACCAUCAAACGAUGAUCAAAAACAAAAAUUGUAGUUCGGCCAACUGAGUAGAAUCCACAAUUCAAGUGAUGGAAGUUGAUCGAAUCAAAGGAAAGAAUCGUCAGAGGGUGUCAAUCAAAAACAAUAAAGUUGAGGGAUCUAUUUCAAAAUGGCCUAUAAUCUACUUUCAACUAAAUAUUUACAAAGUAAAAUGCUGGGACAACCCUUGACUUCAGGCCAUUCACACCAAAGCUUCAUUAUUAUUAUUAUUUUUCCUACUAUUGAGACAUUCACAUGAUAUCAAUUGAAGAUUAUAUUAAGAUUAAUGAUGAUAUUGUUAAAUUGUAUCAGACAUGCAAGUUUUGAAGAUAAACAAAAAAGCUGAUUUUAACGCCUGAUAGCAAAUGAAGUGAUUAAGUAUGACAAAAAAUAUCCUUAAUUCAAAUAACCGGAACAAUUCAAGCUACAAUCAAAUUCAAAAAUCAUAGUCAAGUGCGGCUCCUUAAAUAAUUACAAACAUUCAUAGCGCAAAUUACAAAAAAAAAUUGAAACAACGAAUUCGAAGAAACAGAGGGAGGAGCUCGACCUCUUCUUAGUUGCGGCGCGAGCCGGUCACUGCAUGGGCGGGCUCCGUUGGAGGAUGGAGCUGAUCACGCCGAGCACGGUGAGCGCGAGGAUCGGGCUGAAGUCGACGUUGCCGAGGGGGGGCAAGACCUUGCGGAAGAUGGAGAGAUACGGGUCGCAGAGGUCGCGGAGGGCGGAGAAGGGCUGCCGAUCCCACGGGACGUUCGGGAACCACGUGAGCAAGAGGCGCACGAGGAGCGCCUCGCUGAAGAGGCGGAGCCACCGCGCCAUGGCGGCGACGGCGGCGACGAUCGGUGGCUUGAAGUAGGCGGCGGGGUUGUCGGAGGCGAGGGGGAAGAACGGGGCGCCCAUGGCGGAGACCGGGCCGUGGUGAUUGCGGCGUCCGUGGCGGAGGCGGAGGGGGUGGGGCGAAGGGGUCUCCAGGGCGUGGAUCGGGCCAUGGCGGAGGCGGAGGUGGGCGGAGGAGGAGGAGGCGCGUAGGGUUGCGGUUGGAUGGGGACGGGGAGGUAAGAGGAGAAAUUGGGGACGAGGGGGGUUAGGUUUAGGGUUAGGGUUUCGGAGGAGGAGGGGGAAGAGGAGGAUGGUGGAGGAGGAGGACGAGAGCGCGGUUGCCAUUGUUAGCACCUUCUAGCGUGUUGCAAAAGUAAUAAUAAUAAUAAUAAUAGCGCAUAUAUAUAGCGGAAGGAACGUCGUAAAAUAUGCAAGAAGACCCCUCAACUUUAGCUAUUCGCAACUAAGAAACAAAGCCGUUAACUCUUUUUUUUAUUGAAAAAAUUUUGGGUUGCAUUGUCUUACAGAGGCAAGAAUCACUGCUUAAACUAGUAACAUAUCAUGACAUCAUAAAUAUUUUAUUAUUAUUUUUAAUUUUAUUAUAUAAAAAAUUAUUAUUAUUUUAGUACCAUACUUAAUUACAAAAUACUAAUUUUUUAUUUUUUAUUUUAUAUAAGUAGAUAUAAGUUUUCAAGUUUACUUUUUAUCAGAUUAAUCUAUACUAAUAGAAAAUAAAAUCAGUUAACUUUAUUUUAA
rnacentral:lncRNA from 1 species